rnacentral:lncRNA from 1 species
UGAGAUGGUGUCGGGCGGUGGCGUCGUUCGUGGUACUUUACCACAUCUGUGGUGGUGGUGGCGGUAUACGGUGGUGGUUAUAGUCGUGUUAGCGAAUUUGCGAACUUGUUAAGCUUCUGUUAUUUGUGUCGAGCAGUGUUCGAACUGCUUAUUACUGUGGUCAUAGUAUUGUUCGGUUGUGUUGGUGAAACUUCGUCAGAUAAAAUUGCUAUUUUAUAUAUGCGUGAUAUUUGGAGUCAUUUUAUGUCUGCUGCUGCCUCUACAAGUAUAUUUGAUAAUGGUGUUUGUUUUGCAAGGUGGAUUUUUUUUCCGGUGCUAACUACUUAUGCUGAAACUUACCUGUGCUGAAAAUUUAUUAUCAAACUCAGACAGAUAGUUGCAGCAGCUGCUUUAUUUUUCCAGGCUGCAUCUGUUUUUCAACCCGGACUGCAAAUAGGGGCUUUUCAUACUUUGUUCAAAAGUACUCCGUAUCUGUUUUUCGAGUUUUACCUGAAGGAAUAAGUUGCCAUGUGCUCUUUGUCCGUCAAAGAUUUAUCCAAGGGGAUUGUUGAGAUCAUCCACCGGGAUGAUUUGAACACGGCCUCUUCUUCCUGCGGCAGCGGCCUCACACGUCUCACUGCCGCCGCCUUCGUCGAAGCUGUACCGUGGCCGUUGCCAAUGGCUUAGAGCUGACCAGGGACAGAGCCGGCGGAGGCCGGCCGCUGGGAGUGCUUUUCUUGUUGCUGCUGUUGCUAUUGGGGUGGAGCACGAGACUUCAAAAAUUACACUAUAUGCUACUAUAAUUUGAUCAAAACAUCAUCAAUAUAUCAACUAAUAGUCCCAAAAUAACUGUACAUAGUAAAAACUAUAACUUUCUUUGUAAAGUAACAUAGACUUAAGAUGAAGUAACAUCAGACUUUAGAUGUACAGAUGGAGUAUUUUGCAUUAUCGUAGUCGGCUAUGAACGAUGUAGCCGUUGCCUCCAUUGGUCUUGAUCCUACACGCAGUUUGGUAAUUGGACAACCUGAUGUCUGGCUGCGUCUCGCCCGUGUUCUUUAAUUGUAAAAUGCUGGUGGGAGCCGAAUGCUUUUGGGCGUAUGCACACCAUGUUCGGGGGAGUCGUGGGAUGGAAAUGGUUGAUGAUGCGUUAGUUGUCAUCACUCAUCAUCAUCAUCAUCAUCGUCACGGUGAUCGUCGCAAAGGUUACUGUGGCCAACGUCACAAUCAUCCCUCCCCAUGCCAUGACGAGCGCAAUGCCUUGCCUCGAUGGUGUUCUACGUGUCGUGGUCCGGACCGAAGCUCUGUGUUGUCACACCGUAUUGCCUAGAGGGUGUUCCGUGCAUUACGGUUCCACCCAAGUCGACCAUGUACUGGCCCGACGGGCACGAGGCUCCGAGUAGGUGUAGUUACACUCUUUGGCGUGUUGGUUUCCCAGAUGGGGAAGAAUGCCGGCUCCUCGUGCUCGUAGUGGAAUAUGCGCAGCCAUUGCUGAUUGCAACUUGCUUUUCUUAAGACAACACAAUCGUAUAUGCUCACAUACACUCCCUAUGAACGCACUUUGAUUGAAACUUGCUGGUGAAUCUCUUUUGCAUCAUUUAUACCGUCUUACAUUUUCCUUUGCGUCGGUUAUUUAUCUUUAGCAUGUAUUAUGCAUUAAGAGUUUUUUUUAACAUUAGUACAAACAUAAACGCUCAUAUACACGCGCAUACACUCCCCUGUGAACGCACACACGCACACACUACCUCUAUGUGCAUCUCCAAAAGACUGAGCCGUCAUAGUUGUCGACGGGAACGCCUCCUCCCACUGAAUGCGCAUCACGUGGAAGUCCUAAAAUAAAUCCAGAAAUAAAUGCGAGCACCAGGAUUUGAACCCUGGUAGGCAGGGAUACCACAGUCCAUUUAACCAUCCAACCACAUGUUGGUUCGCUAUUAUACAUUAAGAGUUAAUACCACUGUUAGUACAUAAACUUGUACCCGAGGAAACAAAAUGGUACAAGAACAUAAAACCCCCAUAAAAGUAGCCCUUUUUUUUUGAAACCUCCGCUCUCCGGAUUUUAUUCAUUCAGCGGUAGCAAAUCUGAGUGCACAGCGCAUCUCAGAAAUCCAGGGAUUACAUUAGAGUAGGUAGUAACAUUCUCUACCAAUAAAGCUUCCUUAGCACAAGUAUGAGCAACAGAAUUUACUAGACGGCUAGCAUAACGAAGCUGAAAUCCCUGAAAAAACGGCAUCUCCUCCUGCAUCUCUUGAAAGAUAUGGAACCCCUUCGAUUUACCUCUCAGCCUUCCUUCCCAGAGCUGAACAACAUUGAGGCAAUCUGUCUCGACUAUCACAUUCUGAUAGUUCUUCUCCCUCGUAAGCAAGGUAGCAUCUCUGCAGGCCAAAAUCUCCACAGUUAGGGGAUCAACCACCCCUUGGUAGCCAGUGCACCGCGACACUAGCAGGUUGCCUUCACUGUUACGGGCAACUACGCCUGUGCCACCUUUUGCGCUAGCCGUGUCGACUGCGCCGUCAACAUUCAGCUUGACAACCCCGGUCGUCGGCGCCUCCCAUCUCUGCUGCUCGUGAACAGCCGUAGUAUGUGUCGUGGGGGGAAGCUCCAGUGUCCUCACAAUUUCAAAAAUGACCUCCAUGGAUCGCUUGGGUUGAUAUCUUUCUUCAUGGUGAGUGAACCUGUUCCGGCUGCUCCAAAUAGCCCACAUCACCGUUAUGCCAAUCGCUGCAUCUUUCUUUGGUACCAACCUAGCAUCCAGCAAAUCAGUAGCCCAAGUGUGUGGAUGGAGUCGGGGCACCUUGACAGCAAAUACAGUUUCUGCCUCCACCCAAAACAGCUUGGCGUGAUCACAUGUUAUCAAACAGUGAUAGAGACUUUCAUCUCCGUUUCCGCGCAUCGGACAGGCUGCAUAAUCGCUCACAUGUCGUCGGUGCAGCUCCUGCAUACAUGGUAGCAUAUUUUUGACCACCCGCCACCAGAAGACCCGGAUCUUUGGCAGCACUUGUAGCUUCCAGAGCUCCUUCCACAUGCGAUCAGCCCCUUGAGAGCUGCCCUCCAUGGCCUGCAGAUUCUGUGUAUGAUCCAUUGCUUCUCGGUAGGCUGACCUUACACUGAAAACGCCAGAUUUCUCCCACGCCCACGCCCAAAUAUCCUCUCCACCCCGUCUAGGUCUCGGCAUAGCCAGUAUAGCUUCAACAUCUGGUGGCAGGAAUACUUGACGUACUAUCUCCUCGUCCCAUUUGCUAGUAUCCGAAUCCAAGAGAUCCCCGACCAACUGAACCGGCUCCUCAGUGAGCCUUCCUAGUGGGCGCAUAGAUCUUGUGCCCUCAAUCCAGUUGUCAUGCCAUAUCUCUGUUCUCGUUCCAUCGCCAAUACGUCGGAUGAUCCCUGUCUUCAGCAGCUCACGCCCACACAUGAUUGCCUUCCAAGUGCGAGAGGCACUUGCGGGGCAGUUCGCAGAGAGAAACUCACCAUCGGGGUAGUACCUCCCUUUCAGAACCCUCGCACACAAGCUGUCAGGAUAUUCCAACAGUCUCCAAGCCUGUUUGUCCAGCAUUGCAUCAUCAAAAACUUCCAAAUCCCUGAGUCCCAUACCUCCCUUGGCCUUUGGGAUUGCCAUUUUUUCCCAGGCUUGCCAGUGCAUUCCUCUUUUGUCAAGUGAUCCAGCCCACCAAUAUUUAGACAUAGUCUUCAUAAGUUUCUUGCAAAGACCUUUUGUGAGUUUGAAACAACUCAUAGAGUAGGUCGGUAGAGCUUGUACCACUGAUUUCAAGAGAACUUCUCUUGCUGCACACGUUGCCAAACGUUCACACCACCCUUGUACCUUCCCUCUAGCUCUCUCAUUGAGAUGCUCAAACUGUUGCUCUGUCAAUCUGCCCACAGCCGUAGGGAGGCCAAGAUAUUUCUCUGUGAAUGCUUCCCGGUGGAUGUUCAGUGUGUUCUUCACUCCUCUUUUAUUAGAAGCACCACAAUUCGGACUAAAGAAGACCGAACUUUUAGCCAAGUUGGCACUCUGGCCAGAGCCACUAAAGUAGUCUUGAAGGAUGGAGUUUAAUCUCAUAGCACUCCUGUGGUCUGACUUCAUAAAAAUCAAGCAACCAUCAGCAAACAACAAGUGGGAAAUACAAGGAGCUCUUGUACUGACCUGAAUUCCUCUGUCAAUCCAGCCCCCAUCAUAGUUUUUUAGCAUACAAGAUAAUCCUUCCCCACAAAGCAGGAACAAGUACGGGGAGAUUGUGUCCCCCUGCCUUAAACCUCUCGUAGGCCUGAAUGAGGGUAAUAACUCCCCAUUGACCUUUAUCUGAAAGCUCACUGUUGAUACACAUCGCAUAACCAACGAUAUCCAAGCUUCCUCAAAGCCUAGCUGCUGCAUCAUACCCUGCAGAUAAAUCCACUCAACAUGGUCAUAUGCCUUCAUCAUGUCGAUCUUCACAGCACAAUAGCCUUGCUUCCCCUUCUUCCUCUUCAUUGAGUGAACGCACUCGUAAGCCGUUAGCACAUUGUCUGUGAUUAGCCUUCCAGGAAUGAAGGCACUCUGCUCUUCUGCAAUAAUUUCAUCUAAGAUCUCCUUCUCCGAUUAGCUAACACUUUAGAACAAAUCUUGUAAAUGACAUUGCAAAGAGAGAUUGGUCUAUACUGGGUAAUAUUUUGAGGAUUCUUUACUUUUGGCACAAGUACAAUUACCGUUUUAUUCACAACCUCCGGCAUAUAGCCACCAUUUUAGAAACCGGAGACCGCCGCCGUCACAUCCUCCUUGAUGAGCUCCCAAUGGUGCUGGUAAAACCCGGCAUUGAAGCCAUCCACCCCUGGUGCUUUGGAAGGACCCAUUGAGAACAUCGCCGCCCUUACUUCCUCCGCUGAAAAAGGACGAAGGAUCCUAGCAUUCAUCUCAUCGUUCACCAUUGCCGGAACAUGGUGCAGUACCAUACCAAUAUUCGUAUCAUCUUGGGCCUGAUAUAAUCCCUCAUAGAAAUUCUGCACCUCCAAAUUGAUCUCUUCCUUCUGCACACACAAAGAACCAUCCGAUGCUUGUAAACACGUGAUUCUAUUCUGACAACGCCUUGCGGAUGCUUGGGCAUGAAAGAAACCCGUAUUGCGAUCACCAGCUUUAAGCCACCCAAUUCUUGAUCUCUGCCUCGCCAUGAUCUCUUGCUUGUGAAGCAAAUCUGAAAGUUGUCUGGCCAGCUCUCGCUCCUUAGCCGAGGGACCACGGAACAGGGAUCCUUUCCUCUCUUUCUCAUAGUCCCUACGAAUUUUCUUGAUCCUGCGUUUGAUGUCACCAAACUUCUUAUCUUUCCAGCUCGUCAAACUUCCUUGCAUUUGCAUUAAGGCCUCAUUUAGCCCCAGCAACCCAUCACUACCUGCUCCCUUCCGCCAAGCUCCUGUCACUUCCUCCUCGUAAGACUCCUCCUCAUGCCAAGCAUCUUCAUACCUAAACUGUUUCGCUGCUGGGCUCUCCUGCCCACUCAGAGAGCGGACCCUUGCCACGAGCAUACAGUGGUCUGAACGGGGAGACCACACAUGGCGUACAAAGGUGCCUGCAUACAUACGCAUCAUCUCGGGAUCGGCGAGGAACCGAUCCAGUCUAACCUUGACAUUAGCUUGGCCAUCUUGCAUAUUAUCCCAUGUAAACGACGUCCCUUGGAACCCCAGAUCAUGGAAACCGCAAAAAUCUAUGACUUCACAGAAGCCUUCCAUCUGCCACUCCGGGCAGUCAUGCAUACCAAAGUACUCAGAACCAUGGAGAAUUUCGUUCAUAUCACCACCACACAGCCACGGUAGGUCACUUUGGGCACACAACCAUCUUAGCAAUUCCCAACUAGCUGAGCGUUCCUUGCGUUUUGCCUUCGCAUAGAAACCCGUAAACCUCCAACACUUGUUAUCAGAUCCAAUAUUAGUAACUGUUGCAUCAAUAUGCCGAUCAGACCUUGUCUCAACUUUAACCUGCACUCCAUUGGACCAAAAAAAGCACCAAACCUCCACUAAGGCCCGCACUAUCAACUGAAAAACAGCCUUCAAACCCCAGUCUCUUUGUUAGAUCGGUCACACGAUUACCCUUGAUCUUUGUCUCACACACAAAAGCAAGGGCGGGCGCUUCUAGCCUCACCAGAUUGUGAAGCCCCCGAACUGUCUCCGGGUUCCCAAGCCCGUGACAGUUCCAAGCUAUUACAUUCAUUGUGUCUUGCGGGGCUGUCCAGCAGCCUCCGCUUCUGAAUUUGCCUCCUCAAGCACAUCCUUCUUCUUCUUCGAAUCCCUGCUAUCAUUAUCCGAUUCUGCCUGUUGUUCCUCACUAGCUCUUUUCUUAUUCAAGGUGUCUUGGUCCAGAAGCAUGAGUGCACCUGUGUUAUUUGUGUUCGUGUGAUUCAUAUCAACUCUUCGGUACACUCCCCUGCCUCUGUUGCCAUCCCUCCCAAAAGUACGCCCUCCACCCCGGGCUAAACCGCCUCUGCCUCUAGCAUUAAACUGAUACACUGCAUUCUGAACUCUGCCAUUUGUGUUUUUUGCCGGCGAAGUAGCCUCAUCUCCUUUCUCAACAUCAUCAUGUUCAACUCCAGGUUCUCCCUUGUCCUUCGGGCCAGUUUGGUGACCUUCAAAGCUAGCAGCAGGGUCACCCCAACCCUUAGCCCGGUACCCCAGGUACCUUAAAGAUUCACGAUACGGUGGUCUUCCAAACUCAUCUCUCCCAGCAGGAGUUGGUCACAUAGCUUCCGCAUGGCCGAGGAUCCCACACGAGAAAUAGAAGUACGGCAGGUUCUCAUACUGUAUGUCAAAGAAUUCUGUAGUCCCUUUUUUUGCCGACUCUAAACGUACCCAUCUCAUCACAGGUUCAUGCACAUUGAGCCAGAUCCUGGCCCUCACACAAUCACCAGCCGCAUAGCCUUUAGCGUCUGCAUCAAGCUGGAUGACUUGACCCACCAUUGCCGCAAUCCGUGCCGGCCAUAGAGGGCACAGCAGGUUGAACGGCAGGUUCACCACCCUUGCCCAAAUCCUUAUCUUGUCAAAACUGAGCUCUGAGGGACGUGGGGUGAUGUUGAAGAUCUCUACCACCACGCAAUGUUUGCCCACAGUCCACGACCCUUUCAAUACAAAUCAGUUAAAUUUAACGGCACACCGUCUAUCGCGUGCUAACUGCAGUAGCACCUCGCGCUCUCUUUCUCUGUUUGCCAGUGGGGCCCACUUGUAGGGGGGUUAAGAAAGAAAGAUAGGAAAUGAAAAACGAGCUCGUGGAGAUUCGAACUUCGGUUCUCUCGCGUUGGUGGUACACGCGUGAUAACCAGCCGACUCAAAGGCACCAUAUACUCGUAUACUAGUUUCUUAUGCAAAAUUCUUAAUUAUAUGGUUUGUAUAACCUUAACCACCGUGGAAAUCCGUUUUGGAGCUCGGUCUCCAGUGAGGCCUCCAAAUUCAAAUUUGAAAAAAACUCAUAUUUUUACAUUUUAAUAAAUUCUAAAAAAAAUACAGAUAUACAUGAAGGCAUAACACACACGUGUCUAAAUUUUCAGUUCAAAAUACAUUGAAAUGGGGGCUGUGCAAAAAAGACAAAUCUUGGGCUGUUUAACACAUGAUACUAUUUAUUCUCUCAGACCAUGAAUUUAUGUUUUUUGUACAGGUCACAACUCAAUAUAUUUCAUCAUGAAUUUUUACACACAUGUGAUCCUUACAUACACACAUAUUUUUUUUUCCAGAAUUUUUUGAAGCAUAAAAGUUUUAAUUUGAUUUUUUCAAAAAUAAAGGCCUCCAUGGAUUGGCCUCCGAAACGCCUUUCUCCUGUUUUUCAGACUACAACAAUUUCAGCAAUGGUUUAUAUAACUGUUUCAGUGAAUUCUUUACAUGCACAGAAGAAUUGGCACGCCGCUGAAGUACACUGCAAAAAGACUCACCAAACUAUAUUUCUUCAUGUUUGACAUCCAGUCGUUGUGGUAAGAGCAUCUACAACUGGACUUGGCAAAUCCAAACCCCCAAACACCCACGGACAUUGACCGGUCACGUCUCAAAUAAUGCAUUCCACAUUUGGAUACCUCAAAUCCAUAUUAUUACAUGCAACACAGUGAUCUUUGAGCGGAGCUCGUCUGUCUCCGUCGUGUCCAUGUCCGGCGGCCGGUUGCACUUCCUAGAGUGUUGGUCCAGUCGCCGACAAAGUAGAGAAGGGCAUGGGACACGAGCCGGCUCACGAGACUCAAGGCGCCACCGCCUCCCAUGCCCAACUCCUCCUCGUCGGAGCCCAGAACCUGAACGGUGUCGGUGGACAUAUGAUGGAUGAUGGAUCCGUCCUGGGACGAGCCGGCGACAUCCACCACGACACGGUUGCGACGCCCAGAUUGCUACACCACGGGGCGUCGGAGAGUGCGGCUCCGCCUCGCCAACAUCCACUGCCACGAGAACUACUGCCACCUCCUGCGCCCGAUGCCUCGCACGGCGGGCACGCCGUGCCAUGUUUCCGUCAAAUGAUGCUCAUGGUGUGUCUCGCUGCUCGGUGCGCCAACAAAGGGUUGUGCGUCCGCCACCAGGUUCGGACACCAGACGGACCGUAUCGCCUCCGGUGAGGCAGCGAUGACACACCUAUCGUCGGAUCCAUGCGCCAUUUGGGCGGAUGCAAUGAAUUCCUGAUGGAAGGAGUCCGAGCGCUGCCGUGCACGGACCUCCUCCCAGGAGAGGCGGAGCGCAAGCCGGACGACCAUCUCCUCCUUGGGACCGCAUGGGAUGAGCUCGGGGGCGACGAAUCUGGAAGUGAAGGACUCGGAUCUGCUGCCCGCCAUGCUGGAGACUGUCAGAGAUCGCCGGAGGUGAGCUUGAGUGGCGGAGGGGAGUGAAAUAAAGUGGCUAGGGUUUGGUCCAGCGAGUGAAUGGGGAGGAAUGUAUGUGGGGUCGGGUGGGCCAGCGUGGGCCGGGUUCGAUGUGGCGGACGCCUGGAUGCCCCAUACCCGCCCCAUAUUUGGGCUGGAUAUGAGGGGUGCCGGUUAGCCCAGAUGUUUGAGGCGUGCAUCUAGAUCGAAAUUUCGUGACCAAGCCGUUUGCCCACGUGUUUGAGGAGGAUUUGGGGCGUCCGGCUGUAGAUGUUCUAACGCAUGGGAAGAUAAUACCUGAUGUUCGUGGUUCAAGACCCCUCCUCCCGCUACAUUUCUUUCUAUUUAUUUCUCCGCAUCUGUGACAAAAUAUAAUAGAAUGUUUACCUGGGCAGGUCACACAAAUUCUUCUGGUUUGGCUCAUUAUCUCGCACGCCUGACUAGUGCAAGGUCCCAGGUUCUAACUUCCGUUGUUCUUUUCUAAGUCAAUAUUUCUUUCUCGCGCCCUCACUGGCAAGUGGGUCCCUCGCGAACAUGGAGAGGGAGAGAUAGCGGGCUACUGCUGCAGAUAACAUGCAAUUAACGCCGUCGGAUUUAACAAAAUUGUAUCUAAAUGUUCUGUUAAGCAAGUUGAAGGACUACUUUUUUGGAGUUUUUUAGUUCUUGUACCGUUUUGUUCCCUUGGGUACAAGUUUAUGUACUAAUAGUGAUAUUAACUCUUCUUUUAACAAGGUUUCCACAACAAUGCAAGGGGUAUUAUCUAGUUUCAAUAAUACUCGGAUAUGCCAUGAUACUCUAACAAAGAAUGUGAAAGAAGACACAAACAAAAUGAACAUAGCUAUUGUUGUAUUGCCAUGGUGUAAUUUACACGAGUGUGUUGUGGUACUAUCACAUAAAACUACAAAAGUUCCUCUACUUUCAGCCAUAGGUAAACGAUGGCUUGAAGUACAUGCACAUCGGUGGGUCAAUCCUCAUGAUGGACAAUAUUGCAGACGGGACACUCCAGAUACCAUCACCGCAGAUCAAACCAGAAGCAACCGCACCCGCAAACUCCUCUGCCUCCUUACGGUUCACCCUCUCCCAUACAAACAAGAUGACAGUUCCGAUAAACAUGUCAAUCGCGAAGUAUGCCCCAAUGUAAAAUGAGACGGCCAUGGCCAUCGGGAGCGGGAUGAAUUUGGAGAGACUGUUUGGGGUGACAUCCCGGAUGAGCUUGAUUGCUAUGGCUCCAAAGAAGAAGAAAGAGCAUAUUGCUAGGCAAUGUCGUGGCAACACUGAGAAUCCUUCGACACCCAUGAUUGACAUCUCACGGAAGAUGGCGGCAUAUGGAGCUUUGAACAUACCAUCAGGAUUGCCAAUAUCGAAGGAUGUCCAGUAAAGCCAAAAGGUUAGAGGAGCAAUGACACAACCAAGGGAAGUGCCAAUCAACUGUGACACAAACAUGGACCUUGGUGAUGAGAGGGUCAGGUACCCAGUCUUGAAGUCAUGCAUGAGAUCACCAGCUGUGGAUACGAUGGACAUCAUAACACCACAAGCUGCUAAGCCGGCGAUCACACCACCAUGUUGGCCAACCCAUGAGGCAAAAAUGAAAAGGCCAAUCUUUCCAUAUGUGAAUGCAAGGUUCCAAUCUGUUAGUCCAGUUCCGUAUGAGUUGCAGAAGGCAAGUAGAGGAGCAACAACAUAGGCAAAGAGGACAAGGUACCACUUGAGUUGUGGGAAUAUCAUUGGUACUGUUGUAGUUGAAAUUGCUGCAAGGCCCACAUAACCAGAUCCUGCCAACCAGGGAGGGAUACUGUCUUUUAGAAACACCUCAUUUAGAAGCUUUUCCUCGACUGAUAAUUUGGAAUCCUUAUCAUCUGCAAUUAUAAAAGGUAAACAAGAUGAGAUCCAUGAUGUAUGAUAUGAUGGCAGGUCAACUAGGUACAAUAAGAAAAUGGCAUUACCACCAUGAACCCAAACAAGGGGAAGUCUUCCUUGCUUUGAACGUGCAUUCAUUAUUUCCUUGAUAGUGGCAUAAAUGAUUUUGAUGAGGUUAAAAGUACCAUCACCAAGUAUCAAGGAUACCGAUAUGAAAACCUGGAAGGGUGCAUUGACAACUUAGUUUUUGCUAAAUAUAAUGUUGGCAAAGACUGAUCAUUAAGUGAACAAAGAAUAGUUCAGAAAUUUAAUGAUAUAGAUGAGCCAUUUAUUUAUUCUUGAACUCAGUUUCAUGGUUCUCAUGAAAUACGACCACUAUGCCCACUAAAAUAAAUGCAUAAAAGAGAGUUAUCUGUAUUAUUCGCAUAUUUACAAGAACUACUUGCAAAUUCACUGGGUUUAUUCAAUAUGGAGGGAAACAGGAGACUUUGGUCAAACCUUCUAAAUAUUGAUUCAUAAUCUAGUUCUUUUUCUUAGAUCGGCUCAAAACAUGGUACAAGAUCUGUUGGUCAACAACCAUCACAAUUGAAUUGGCAAAAGGCAUAAUCAAGAGACAACAUGGUAUUGACUAAUAAUUCAUUAUGAAAUGGACAAUUAGAAUCCUUCACCACCAUACCUUGUACCCAUAGAGUCCUCUGAAGUCGUUGCUUCCAAGGUUAGCUGGGUACCACUCCCCCGCUUUUGUCGAUAUAUAUGGCCAAAGAAAACCCCAGGAUAUGAUGGCUCCAAGAAGUGCAGAGCAAUUAACUAUAUGUGGACAUAUAAGACCACAUCCAAUAUAGGUUGGACUGAAGUCAAAAUAAAACCUAUAAAAAGUAGAAAUUGUAAGAUUCUGGAUAUAAUGCAUAUGAGUAUUCCAGCUUAAAGGAUAGUAGUUUCAUAUGUUAAUCCCUGCAUUUCCAAAUAAUCCCUAAUAAAGAGGAUAAGGAAGGCGAAUUUUUGUUUCGAUUUCAAAUAAAGUGAUUUGUUUUUAAAUUGUAAAAAUACACACUUCAAAAUUUUAGCACGAAAACAGUAGAAGUUAAUUAGCUUACGUGUUCUUAAACGCUGCAAGGCCCAGAGAAGGGAAGUUGUCGAAGCCACAAGAAUCCCCGACACCACUGAAGAACCAUUUAAAGCAGUUCCAAAGGAAACUUAUGCUUAAGUACUUUCCGAGACAACUAACUUGUUUUCUGCAGGCAGGGGAAUAAAGUUAGUACCACCAAAACUCAAGAAAUACAUUAACUCAAGAAAUGUAGUCAACAAUCAAACUGAUACAGAGACAUCAAAUUUGAUCCCUAGUAAACAUAUAGAUAAUCCAUGAUUUUAAUUAAAAACUGAUAAACUUGUUAUUUUCUACCUAUCAAAAGAUUCAUCUCCUGUGCAUAAUGUACAUGUUUACACCUCCCCCUCCCGCUAAAAGUAUAUGCAAUUGUGUAGAGGGAUAAGAUUGCAGAAUUCCUAGCCUUGAUUCAUCACAAACUAAUUGCGACCUGAGUAGAUCAGUAAAGCUUUAUUAUUGUUGAAUUACCUAAAAUGAAUUUGUUCUCUCAUGUACAUACUACUUGCCGAAAAAGGGUUUCCCCCCGCUUUGUAUACAAAGCAACCAACCAAGCCGUACAAGGAUAGGUGCUGGGGCAGAAGCAGCACAGUCACGCCCAAAAAAAACGACAGAGAAAGAGCAAAACAAACAAAUGCCGACAACGGCGGAUCAACAAAAACGAAGAAGCCUCGCGAACGCUGUGCCCACCGGGAUCUUCCACUAGGCUCCAAGACUCCGAAGCGCCAACACCUAUCAACACCUCCAAGAAGGAUCGCGACGAUGACGACGCUGCUGCCAAGGGUUUCCCUCGAUACACGAGGAGGCGAGAGGAAGGGUAGCCCCCGACGCCCUCCCGAAAGGUCAGCUGGCACCCACAGGCGCCACCGCGCCGGUGUCGGCCAAGCCGACAAGGGUUCCCCCCGAUCCCAACCCGCACCUCGGGCGCUCCGGAGCCAGCCACCAAACCAACCACCAUCCAGCGCCAACACGGUCAAGAGGCCCCCACGCCGUCUCACCACGACACCGCGAAGUGAGGACAACACGGCGAAGAAUCAGAGCCGAGACUAGGGCAGCAGCACCGUCGGCACGCGGGAGGGCCCCACCUCCACCGUCAGCGACGGUAGCCGUACGGACGCAAUAGCAGGAGCACACCAGGCCCGUAGGCCCACAGGCUCGGCCGAGCCCUCGUGGGUCCGUAAAGCUCCCGCCCUCGCGCUGCUGCUGGCACGCCAUCGGCGCCGCCGCUCACAUCCGAGCCGCUCCUCCUCCACACCGAGCCGCAGACAGCAAGGCCACGCCGGCGCCGACCCGCUAGGACCCAGAUGGGGCCCUAAGGGCCCAGAUCUAGGCCGGGGGCGCGCCGCCGGCCACCAGCGCCACCAGGCCACCCCGCCGCCAAGAGGCAGCGCCACCACCGCGCCGGCCGCCGGCCCCCGCCACCAGGACNNNNNNNNNNNNNNNNNNNNNNNNNNNNNNNNNNNNNNNNNNNNNNNNNNNNNNNNNNNNNNNNNNNNNNNNNNNNNNNNNNNNNNNNNNNNNNNNNNNNNNNNNNNNNNNNNNNNNNNNNNNNNNNNNNNNNNNNNNNNNNNNNNNNNNNNNNNNNNNNNNNNNNNNNNNNNNNNNNNNNNNNNNNNNNNNNNNNNNNNNNNNNNNNNNNNNNNNNNNNNNNNNNNNNNNNNNNNNNNNNNNNNNNNNNNNNNNNNNNNNNNNNNNNNNNNNNNNNNNNNNNNNNNNNNNNNNNNNNNNNNNNNNNNNNNNNNNNNNNNNNNNNNNNNNNNNNNNNNNNNNNNNNNNNNNNNNNNNNNNNNNNNNNNNNNNNNNNNGGAGGAGCCGCCCCAGCCGCCGCCCGGGGAGGCGGCGCGAGGCGGAGUCGGGAGAGGGAGAGGGGGAUUCUGAUGAAUAAUUUUCAUGUACAUACUACUUAAUUGGCCGAUAAACAAUCUAUAACGAGAAUUGUUCAAUAAAUGGGCAGAAGGCUAAUGUGCAAUUUCAUCAGAUUAUUAUGAGAUUUGGCAACCAUCAGUGCUUAGCAUAUGAAAAAAGGUCAAUUGGAAGACAAUUAAACUUUAAAUAACUUAAGAGUCACUAACAGUUGGGAGACAGUACUUAAAAUACUUAAGUCGCGGGGACCCAUAGUAAACUUUGAUGACCUGAUAUAAGCCGUAAAAGUACCAUAGGUCGAUAGAAACCACUAUUUUGAGUACUUAUUUAUAGAUUACUAAUUGUUCAAUUGUGCAACACUCUAUCAUAUUAAAUCCAUAUUCAUCCAAUCAUGCGACAAGAAGUAUCAGAGAGUCAACACUAACUGUCCCUCCAAAGUACAAAUAACUUACUAGUUUGCACAAAAUUAAGGAUCAGUGAUGAUAUGUUUCUUACUCUACUAACUCAUCUCCGGUAGCAGCGUGGACACUGUUUAUGAACAUAGCGGUGGCAGUUCCUCUGGGAUAGGUUAGCUUAUAGUUUAUCACCAUCACCUAGCAAACACCAAAACUGAACUUAGUUGGCCGAAUUUGCAAGGUGUUGUCCAAGUUGCUGCACUUGAUUAAAAAAAAUGUAGAUGUGAUCAACUAAAAAUGAAAGAUGCACAAACAUCUAAGAUGUGGAUGAUUACCUUGCGCAGGGCAACGAGACUAAAAAUACCAAUGAAGCUAACUACAAACAUAAACCCGAUCAUCCAACUCAGCGAGGGAUUCUUGACAUCCACUGCCCUGUUACCAGGAUAAUCAGUCCCGAUAAGCUCAUAAGUUUUUUGAUCCAUUGCAAGCAUGUACGAUCCGAAUCCUCCUGCACAAGUGGAAACAUUGAUUGAUAAUGUGAACAAAAUUAGGGGGAAGCCUAUCGUCAUCAAUUUUUCUCCCACUCCCAGGAAACACCAAAAUCAGAUAUGUACGCUGCAAAGUUAAACAUUUGUUCUAAGAAACGUAAUUGUAAAAAUGAACCUGCUAGUAACAUUCCUAAUAAUGCAAAAAAGGGAAGUAAAACAGAACCUGGUCAGGUUCUUUCUCCAAUACCUACCAAUGUUCCACCCAACCAAAUGUAACACCGUUGUGGCCCCCACCCAAAAGGAAUACACACAGGCAAAGGGCCACAGGUACUUAGCACAAGGCAGCAUCAGAAGUCCACACAUGAUGACUGUACUGAGUCAAGGAUCGCAUCAAAGCAAAAUGCAAACAUACCGCUGGUGGCGAGGCCGUAGCAGGCGACGACGCAGGUCUGGAUGACGGUGUUCUCCUGCUUGGUGAAGGGCUUGGAGACGACGCCGAACAUGCCCAGCGCCGCGGUCCAGGUCCGCACGAGGAAGUAGGCGAGCAGGCCCGCGGCGACAUUGAGCGAAGGAAUGAUCCCCACCGUGAGGUUGAGCUUGUGCGUGAUGAGGCAGAAGAGCACCCCCAGGAUGGCGCUCACCACUACACCCCGCACCGUCAGCUGCUCCCGCCACGGCGGCACCGCCUCCACCGCCGACGGCGCGCCGGCAAGGAGGGGCCCGGUCAUCUCCGCCGCAUCCGCCUGCAUUCCCAUCUCUUGCGGACGCUAGUGUCAAGCCAAUGCCUCCCUUCGCCUCAGACUUUGGGUGCUGGUAGACGAGGUCAAGGUGAGGCACUGAGGAUGAAUGAAUUGGCGUGGAGGACUAGGUAUUUAAAGGGCGUAAACUGAAGCCUAGCACACGGGAACGUACGAUGGCUUCAGUAUGUUCAUGCAUCCACACUAUGACACGCGUACUCCUACCAUGCAGACACGUAGCAGGCCAGCACGGUCAUUAUCUUGGCAGAGGAUCGGGACAGGAAGAGCAGCGUGAAUCAUGCUUGUCCUAGUAACACGCGGGUAGUGCUAGCUAUCCGGCCACUCGUUGUCUAGGUAACGGUGGCCACACAUUUCUACCGCUUACGUGCUAAUUUGAUUGCGUGUGCCCGAUGAUUAAGCGUUAACAAUAUCUGCUGGGGCCGUGUCUAAUGGCGGCCACGAAUGUACGGCCUCCCCAACCAUCCCUACGCCUGGAUUAUAUACUGUGGGGCUGGAUGCAAUGGUAACCACAGAUCAUGAUAUGCAUUAGGGGUUAAUUUUUCUCUUGUAUACUAUAGAAAGGAAAAGGGAGGAACGUGCAUGUUGUAGUAUUUGAUUUGAUUUGGUCAUGCCAUCGAUGCGAGCAAGGUAGGUGGGACGUGCAUACGCACGCCAGUUUGACCGUUUGGCUGAUGCUUCAUGUCACAUGUCAUCGUUUGAUGUCAAAAUGAACGUAUAGAAAAUUGUGUUUCAUAGCUUUUCAGAGGAUUUUUCUCAAUAAUGAGAACAACUAAACAAAGAUAAGUUGACACAUCCAUGAAAAAAGGAUUGCUCGAGAAUCAACCUGUGCUUGGACGGUUAGGUCGACAGUGGUAUCCCAGCCCAUCAGGGUUCAAGCCUUGGUGCUUGCAUUUAUUCAUGGAUUUAUUUCAGUAUUUUCGGAGGAGACGUUCCCGUCGACUAUGAGGCUUCUUUGGUGACUUUGUCCAUCUCAAGAUGGCUCAUAGGGGUAUGGUGUGUUUGUGUGUUCAUAGAGAUGAGUGUAUGCGCGUAUAUAUGAGCGCAUGCGUCUGUAUUGUUUUAAAAAAAGAAUUACACUGAUUAAACCAAGACACAACUAAUGAACAUAAUUAAUCCCAUGUACUAUAAUCCAAACUGGAUUGAGCUAAUCAACCCUUUUUCUGGCACUAUUGUCGGGAAUUAUGCGCUUCUAUGGUAAGGUUACUAGAGUUACAUGUUAUUUACCUCCAUUUUUUGUUUUAUUUCCUUUGUUGUUCCUUUAGUGUACUUUUGUAGUCAAUGAAAGAUACCAAAAACAUGGGAGACAUCAACAAGAAGCUUGGAGAGUUUGCUACUCCCAAUGAUGAGUAACUGCGUGCACCUAUAACUCAAUCUACGUUGUAGCCGAAUAAAAUGAGAUUAAUCCACACUUGCUUGGGAACGACGUUUUGGCUCCGGGAGCACAUGCUCCCGGGUGAACAGUACCCUCAAAAAAAGUAAAUGUUUUCAAAAAAUUCUGAAAAAUUUGUAGAUGAUUGUGUUGGUGUCGCAAGCAUGCUUGACAAUUUUCAUGCGGAACAGAGCAGCGGUGUUUCGCCGGUGAAAAAACAAAUUCGGGUGACAUUUGGUCUUAGAUUUUUUUUUGCGCAGGCCAAAAUGCUUAACCUUUUUGCCUCAAAAUUUAGAGGUAGUAUUUGUAUAUGACAAAGAUAGCAAAAAAAUUGUCUCAAUUUUUUUGACAUUUGAAAAAGAAGCCAAAUUGAAUUUCUGCACUUGCUUAAUCUGGUCCAAGAGAACCUAUUCGGUGGUUCAGCCAUAUAUGCAUCUACAUACUUCUGCAGAAAUAUAUGAUAUGAUGCCCAUUAAGGAUGUUGAGUCUGCCAUGGAAAAAUUACGCCUAUUUCCUUUUUCAUUUAUAGGAGGAAUGGAAAAACGGUUGCUUCCCUUACCUAAAGACACCAUACUCUUUGGGAAGGCCAUUGCAAUUUAUUCAUGCCUAAAUAUUUUCCAUCUGCCAAAGCUAUGCAGCUGUGUGCUAACAUGAUUGGUUUUAGACAUGAACAUCGCGAGUCACUGGUGCUUGUUUGACAGAGAAUAAAGAAUCCAUUAGGAAUUGUCCUAACCAUGACACUGAAGAAUGACCAAUCAUGUAUUAUAUAAUGCUCCUAUUUUUUAACACGGUACAAUCGCAUAUGCUCACAUAUACGCACAUACACUCAUUCCUAUGAACGCACUUUGAUUGCAACAUGUUGGAGAGUCGCUUUUGCAUCAUUAGUACCGUCUUACAUUUUCUUGUGCAUCGAUUUUAGUUAUUUUUAGUAUAUAUUAUGCAUUUCUUUUAACAAGGUUUCCACAACAAUGUGAGGGGUAUUAUCGAGUUUCAAUAAUAGUCGGAUAUGCCAUGAUACUCUAACAAAGAAUAACAAAGAAGACACAAACAAAAUGAACAUAGGUAUUGUUGUAUUACCAUGGUCUACUUUACACGAGUGUGUUGUGGUACUAUCACAUAAAACUAAAAAAGUUCCUCUACUUUCAGCCAUAGGUUAAAGAAGGCUUGAAAUACAUGCACAUCGGUGGGUCAAUCCUCAUGAUGGACAAUAUGGUAGAAGGAACACUCCAGAUGCCAUCACCGCAGAUCAAACCUGAAGCAACCGCACCCACAAACUCCUCUGACUCCUUACGGUUCACCCUCUCCCAGACAAACAAGAUGACAGUCCCAACAAACAUGUCGAUCGCAAAAUUUGCCCCAAUGUAGAAUGGAACAGCCAUGGCCAUCUGUAGUGGGAUGAAUUUGGACACACUAUUUGGGGUGACAUCCUGCAUGAGCUUGAUUGCUAUGGCUGCAAAGAAGAAGAAAGAGCAUAUUGCAAGGCAAUGUUGCGGCAACACCGAGUAUCCUUCGACACCCAUGAUUGACAUCUCACGGAAGAUGAUGGCAUAUGGAGCUUUGAAUAUGCCAUCAGGAUUGCCAACAUCAAAGGAUGUCCAGUAAAUCCAAAAGGUUAGAGGAGCAAUGACGCAUCCAAGGGAAGUCCCAAUCAUCUGUGACACAAACAUGGAGUUUGGCGAAGAGAGUGUCAGGUAGCUAGUCUUGAAGUCAUGCAUGAGAUCACCAGCUGUUGAUACUAUGGGCAUCAUAACACCACAAGCUGCUAAGUCGGCGAUCACACCACCAUGUCUGCCAACCCAUGAGGCAAAAAUGAAAACACCAAUCUUUCCAUAUGUUGAUGCAAGGUUCCAGUCUAUUAGGCCAGUGCCAUAUGAGUUGCAGAAGGCAAGUAGAGGAGCAAAAACAUAAGCAGUGAGGACAAGGUACCACUUGAGUUGUGGGAACAUCAUUGGUACAAUUGCAGUUGAAAUUGCUGCAAGGCCCACAUAACAAGAUCCUGCCAACCACGAAGGGAUACUGUCUUUUAGAAAGACCUCAUUUAAAAGCUUUUCAUCUACUCAUAAUUUGGAAAUAUUAUCAUCUGCAAUAAUAAAAGGGAAACAAGAUGAGAGCCAAAAGACAUGAUAUGUUGUUAGGUCAACUGGGUACAAUAAUAAAAUGGCAUUACCAUCUUGAACCCAAACAAGGGGAAGUCUUCCUUGCUCUGCGUGUGCUUUCAUUAUUUUCUUGAUGGAAGCAUAAAUGAUUUUGAUGAGGUUAUAAACACCAUCGCCAAGUAUCAAGGAUACAGAUAUGAAAACCUGGAAGGGUGCAGACACAACUUAGUUUUUUGUAAAGAUAAUGUUGGCAAUGCUGAUCGUUAAGUGAACAUAGAAUAAUUUUGGAAGUUAGUGACCUAGAUGAGCCAUCUAUAUAUUCUGAAACUCAAUUUAAUGGUUCUCACGAAUUAAGCCCACUAAAAGAAAUAUAUAAAAGAGUUAUUAGUAUUACUUGCAUAUUUACAACAACAACUUGCAGAUGUACCGGGUUUAGUCAAUAUAGAGGAAAACAGGAGGCUUUUGUUAAGCCUUGUAAAUAACGUUUCAUGAUCUAGUUCCUUUUCUUAGACCGGUUUAUAAUAUGGUUCUAGAUCGGUUGGUUAACAACAUUGUAGUCAAAUUGACAAAAGCUGUAAGAAAGAGACAGUAUGGAACUGACUAUUAAUUCAUUAUGGUAUGAACAAUUAGAAUCUUUCGCCACCGUACCUUGUACCCAUAGAGUCCUUUGAAGUCGUUGCUUCCAAGGUUAGCUGGAUACCACUCCCCAGCUUUUGUGGAUAUAUAUGGCCAAAGAAAUCCCCAGGAUAUGAUGGCUCCAAGGAGUGCAGAGCAGUUAACUAUAUGUGGACAUAUAAGACCACAUCCAAUAUAGGUUGGACUGAAGUCAAAAUAAAACCUAUAAAAAGUAGAAAUUGUAAGCUUUUAGAUAUAAUGCACACAAUAUUCCAGCUUAAAGGAUAACUAGAUUCAAUCCCAACAUGUCCAAAAUAACUCGUAAAGAGGAUAAGGAAGGCAACUUUUUGUUCCAAUUUCAAAACAAGACGAAUCUGCUUUUAACAUGUGAACUUUGUAAUAAUAUCACAGACACACUAGCGGCAAGCUUACGUGUUCUUAAAUGCUACAAGGCCCAGAGAAGGGAAAUUGUCGAAGCCACAAGAAUCACCAACACCAAUGAAGAACCAUUUAAAGCAGUGCCAAAGAAAACUUCCGCUCAAAUACUUUCCAAGACAACUAACUUGUUUUCUGCGGGAACAAAAUUAAAGUUAGUACCUCCAAAACUCAAAAUGCAGUAACCCAAGAAUAUGUUGUCAAAAUGAAAUCGAUAUAGAGGAAUCCAAGGUCAUCCCAAGCAAACAAAUAGAUAAACCAUCAUUUUUAGAUUAAACAUAUAAACUUGCUAUUUCGUACCUAUUAGAAGAUCCACCAUCUGUGCAUAAUGUAGAUGUUUACCCUCCCUCCCGCUAAAGUAUAAGCAAUUUUGUAGUGGGAUAAGAUUACAGAAUUCCUAGCAUCAACUAAUUACAAACUAAUUGCAAGCUGAUUAGAUCAUUAAGACCUUAUUGUUGUUGAACUGCCAAUAAUAUUUUUCUUUCCCACAUAUAUACUAAUUAACUGGCCGAUAAAUGUUUUAUAAUGAAAAUUGGUCGAUAAAUGAGAUUUUUUGUCCAAAUAGUCGGUGGACUUGUAUAAUAGUUAGAGGGCUAAUGUGCGACUUCACUGGAAGAUCAUCAAAGUUUAAAUAACUUCAGAGUCACUAACGUUUGAAGAUGGUACUUUAAAUACUUCAAAUUGACGGGGAUGAACCUAUAGUAAACUUGGAUUACCUGAAUGCAGUGAAACUACCAUAGGUCAAUAAAAACCACUAUUUUGAUUACUCAUUUACAAACUACUAGAUGUGCAAUUGUGCAUCACUCUAUGAUAUAAAAUCCAUAUUCAUGCCAUCACCAGACAAGAAGCAUCGCAGAGUCAACAAUAAUCAUCCCUCGAAACUAUAGCUAACUUAGUUUGCAAGAAAUUAAGGAUUAAUGUUGAUAUGUUUCUUACUCCACUAACUCGUCUCCGGUAGCAGUGUGGACGCUGUUUAUGAACAUAGCGGUGGCGGUUCCUCUAGGAUAGGUUAGCUUAUAGUUUAACACCAUCACCUAGCAAACAUCAAAACUGAACCUAGCAAACAUUUGAUUGAAAAAAGAAAAUAAGUGUAAAUAUAAUCAGAUAAACAUGAAAGAUGCACGCAUCAAAGAUGUGGAUGAUUACCUUGCGCAGGGCAACGAGAAUAAAAAUACCAAGGAAGCUAACUACAAACAUAAAGCCGAUCAUCCAACUCAGCGAGGGAUUCUUGACAUCUGCUGCCCUGUUACCAGGAUAAUCAGUUCCGAUAAGCUCAUAAGUUUUUUGAUCCAUUGCAAGCAUAUACGAUCCGAAACCCCCUGCAUCAACGGAAACAUUGAUUUAUAAUGUGAACUGUGUGAAAAGGGGGAAGCCUACCGAUUGUGACCAAUUCUUUCAUUCCCAAGAAACAACAAAAUCAAAUAUGCAUUUUGUAAGAAAGUUAAAUGUAAAAAUCAACCUGCUAAUAACUUUCUUAAUAAUAUACCAAGAAGCAUGGCACUUAAAUGCAAAGUCCACACAUGAUGACUGUUUUGAGUUAUGCAUCAAAGCAAAUCCAAUCAAACAAUCCCAUAGUCACCUAGCUAAAUGCUCAACUAAAUUCCCCCACAUAUGGGCACAUACCGCUGGUGGCGAGGCCGUAGCAGGCGACGAUGCAGGUCUGGAUGACGGUGUUCUCCUGCUUGGUGAAGGGCUUGGAGACGACGCCAAACAUGUUCAGCGCCUCGGUCCAGGUCCGCACGAGGAAGUAGGCGAGCAGGCCCGCGGCGACGUUGAGCGAAGGAAUGAUCCCCACCGUGAGGUUGAGCUUGUGCGUGAUGAGGCAGAAGAGCACCCCAAGGAUGGCGCUCACCACUACACCCCGCACCGUCAGCCGCUCCCACCACGGCGGCAUCGCCUCCACCGCCGAUGGCGCGCCGGCAAGGAGGGGGCCGGUCAUCUCCGCCGCAUCCGCCUCCGAUCCCAUCUCUCGAGGAUGCUACUACUCGGACUCGAAAUUUUGGUGCUCGCAAGAUUCCUUUAGGUUUAGUUUCGUAUUCUCGUGGGGUGAUCCAAGAGAGGCAGACGAGGUGAAGGGGAGGAGGAUGAAUGAAUAGGCGGGGAGGAGUAGUAUUUAACGGGCAGCACGACUACUGCUGCAGUGCAGAAGAACGUACGGUGGCUUCACCAUGUUCAUGCACACGAAUACAAUAGUUUCAGACACGUGCACCGCUACCAGGCAGCCACGUGGGGUCUACAGCGAGAACACCGUACCCAGAAGGCCAGCACGGUCACUAUCUUCGGUACUGGAAGGGCGUCGUGAAUCAUGCUGGGUAACGGUCAUUUUGCGGGCCACUCGCUGUCUAGGUAACGGUGGCCACACAUCUCUACGCUUACGUGCAAAUUUGAUUGCCAUCAUUAAGCGUUAACUACAUCUGAUGGGGCCGUAUCAAAUGAUGGCCACGAAUGUACAGUCUCUGGAACCACCCGUACGCCAGGAUUAUAUACGGUGGGGCUGGAUGUAAGGCUAACCACAGAUCAUGCCAUGCAUUAGGAAUUGGUUAAGUAUUUUUCUCUUAGGAAGGAAGGGACGUGAAUGUUGUAGUAUUUGAUUUGGCCAUGCCAUCAUGCGAGCAAGGUAGCUAGGUGGGCUAGCUGUGCAUACGCACAGUUUGAACGUUCGGGCUGAUGCUUAUGUCAGACGUCAUCGCUUGAUGUCGAAAUAUACUAUAGAAAAUUGUGCAUUUCAUAGCAUUUCAGAAAUUAUUGGCUUAACUAAAGAAAGAUAAAUAGACAUGUCCACGAAAAAAGGAUUGUCCUUUUGUUCAUUUAUACGUUAUAGAGUGAAUUGCAAAAAACAUCGACACUUCGGGCAAGGUUUGCAGGAACCACACAUUUACGAAAUUGUGUCCAAAACCAUUAAUUUUUCUCUCUAAUUUUUUGCAAAAAACACUAGUUGGACGUCUCUCCUCUCUGGAGGCGGAGGCGGACGUACCAUGGCCACCGGCGGACCGGGCGCCCCCGCCGCCGCCCGGGGUCCAGUCGCGCCCGUGUUCGGCUCCCGCGGCAGCUUGGCCGUGGCUGGCCCUCCGGCGCCGGCUGCUGCUCACGCCCGUCGUGCCCGUGUCCGGCUCCCGCGGCAGCUUGGCCGCGGCGGGCCCUCCGGCACCGGCUGCUGCUCACGCCCGUCGAGGCCGGCGGCGCCACUGCUCCCGCACGUCGCGCCCGUGUUCGGCUCCCGUGGCAGCUUGGCCGCGACUGGCCCUCCGGCGCCAGCUGCUGCACCAGAGACGUCCUGCUUUACCACCAUGACGUGGUCUGCGGCCUACCUCGUCCACGUCGUCGGGCUUCUGGUGGUGGUGCUGGUACAGGGCCGGACUCUCCGCCGGGGAGCAAGGACGGGUCGAAGCAGCCACCGCCGCGAGAACCUGACGACGAGACAGGCAACGGGGUGGGAGGUGGGGCUGAUCGCUUUUUUCAAUUUUGAACAGGGACUGUUUCAUAAAUCUGUAAAAAUCUACCGUCUAACACCGUCAACUGUCAACAGUUACGCCACGUCAUCAUUUAUGGGACCCAUUUGUCAUAAUGAUCAUUAAAACGGCCAAAGCCGCCAACUAGUGUUUUUUGCAAAGAAUUAUGAAAAAAAUUAGUGCUAUUUGGCACAAUUCCGUAAAUGUAUGAUUCCUGCAAACCUUGCCUGAAGUGUAGAUGUUUUUUGCAAUUCACUUUACGUUAUAUGGACUAGAAGCUUAGGGUGCGUUUCACGGCGCGGUGGAGGCUUUUAGGGUUUGGCAACACGCUUUUCACUGUUUUUUUUUCAUUGGAGUUAUCUCGCUAGAAUAUGUUCUCAUAAUGACCUACUAACAAUUGUAAUUAAGUUUGUCGGUGUUGGCGCAUUAUGCUAAAGUCAAUAAAUGCAUUUUUUUGUCAUCACCUAUUGAGCCUGCUGCUCCUCCUCCUCCUCCAAGAAAGAAAGUUAGGAUUCGUGCCUCUCGCCGGCGCUGGCGCAGGUCUGCCUCGUCUCCGGUGGCCCUAGGCCAUAGAGGCGCGGUGGAUCCUGGCAAGGCCGGCGGGAGGGCUCCGUUUUUAGUCAUUUUUUUCAAUCUUGUUAGGGUUUGUGUCCUACCCAGGAAGGCGAGAGGCGGCGGCUCCCUGAAGAUGGAAUAAAGGUCUCCCCGCCUAGCCCCCGUUCCGGCGGUGCGUCUAGCAUCGUUGGUGGGCGUGUGGAGGUGUGGCUUCGGCAGAUCUAUCUUUGGUGGAUUUGCUCGGAUCUCGUCGUUGUUCGUCUACGUUCGUGUGCCUUUGGUUUGGAUCCUUCCGAUCUACGUUAUUUUUCAUCGGCGGUGGUUGCUGUUCUGGGGUGCUGGUCCUAUGGGGCCUUAGCACGACGACUUCUCGACUGUCUACUACAACAAGUUGUGCCCGGCUCCGGCGAUGGAGGGGCGAUGACGGUGGCGCGCCUUCGGCUCGCUUCGUUGCUUGUAGUCGUCGCUAGGUGGUCUACGAAUCUGGAUGUAAUUUUUAUUUUUGGUAUUCGUUGUACUGCCAUGAUUGAAGAUGAAUAGAUUGGAAGUUUUUCCGAAAAAAAUAUAAAUGCAUAUUUUUACAAGGUUAAUGUGAUUAAAACAGUGAAAUUUAAUAUAAUUUAUGUUUCACAUAUGGAGGUUUCUCGUGUAUUUGAUAUUCUAUACAAUAUUUUCUAGGAAUCACCAUGGUGGUGGCUUGUUUGGCGGAGAGGCGUGGAUUUGAAAUUUCGGACAAGUCACAUAGAGAAAGUCCGUUGGUGGAAGGAUAGAGAAGGUGAGUGGUUUGUUGGGAUAUCUUGAACACAUGAAUAGCUAGCAUUAUAAAAGAUAUGUGUGCCCUCUAAAAAUAUAUCUGUACACUUGCCGAAAUUGUUGCUAUAGGACCCUUUGUAUUAGCAACUAAUGUACAUGAUUAUAUCAACCUAGCGGUGCCUUGCUCCACCGACGAGUUUGCCCGUGUAUUUGUCAUUUGAACCGCGCCACCAUUUGCCUCAUCAAUUGGUGAACUACUUGCAUCUGUAGUAAUUUUAUUUGGGGUUCUUGUGCCUCUCCUAGCCUUUUCAGCCCAGUUGACAAGGCCUUCAGUCACAUUUUCAUCAAAUAUAGUCUUCUUGAAGGAAUUCCCCAUCUACACCAAUAUACGAUGAGAAAAAAUCAGAAUAAAAUGAUAGAUAAGAAAUAUUUGUUUGAUCAUGUCAACAAAAGACUUUAAAAUGGUGCCAAUUUGUGAAAUCAAGCUUUGUAUUAAUCAAGAAUGGAUACUCAUCGGUAAAGUUCAAGUCAAAAAUCAUUAAGUCACAACAAAACUACAAUUUGUUCACUUUAUGAAUUGAACUCACAUGGGAGACGACGGCGUAUAGUGGUAGGGUGCUGUAACCACAAAGGACUUGGCAGAUUACACUGAAAUAAGUAAAAGUAAUGAGUAUGUUCUCAAGAUGUCUCAAUAUGAUGUUGCUGCUGCUGUGAUAUCUAUUGUACCUUAUGACAACUCGAGUAAUAACAUAUGCUGGUUUCCCCAUGAUGCAUGAUUUAAAACCAUAUGUCACCUGCAACAUUGAUAAAUGCAAGAGUUAGUUCUACUUGUAUUCAUUAGAUUCCUAUUUGAAACUAGCAAAUCCAUAUGUUAUAUUCUAUAUAAUUUCAUGAUUCUUAUGAUACUCUCCAAUACUUCAAGUUAAAUUAGGUUUUGUACAACCAGCUCACUUAUUGUUCUUACCAAGAGCCAGAAGAAAAAUGCAAUUUCAAAUGCAUUCUGAAAUAGCACGAUGUGGAUCAACAGAAGAACUAAUUUAGGCCGGUGGAACCAAAAGAAGUUAUCUGAAGGAGAAACUACUAAAUCCCCUCGAAUAGCCGUGUGCUUCUGGGCAACCUCAUAAGCCAAUUCCGUUAUGAUGUGCUCCAUCUUACUUCCUACCAUAAGUAACAUCUGCCAAACACAAAUACAGUAAGUUAAUGUCAUGACUCUGCCUUUUUUCUUUUGCAUCUUGCGUAGUUUGAAAGAUCAUUGUAGAAGUCAUAUGAAGGCAUAUAACUAAUAGUUAGUCCUUAAAACAUUUAGUAGAAAUUUCUUUCAUGUAUUUUUGCAUAGAUAGUAAAUCAUGUUUACUUACAAUGAAUGGAACCAAGGUGAUCCAAAUGUAGACAUACCACCCUACAAUAACGGUUAGACAAGAAGUGGGGUUACUUUUCACAUAAAAUAUAUUUUUUAGUGAUGGUAGCCAAAAUAAAAUAAGUAAAUAAAUAAAUAUCAUUUUGUGACAGUUUCACAAAAUAAGAGUUAUAUAAGUGGAUCAAAACUUUUGACAUUCAGUGAUACAUACCUUCAACAUUCAAUAGUAGGAAUAUCAUCAACAUGGCCCAAAGGUACCAACUACAUAAGCAUAACAUGGAUAUCAAUUUGCUAUUUUCUCCAUACGCAAUUGAUAUAGACAUAGCAAAUGAUUUAGACAAAGAUUAGGUAACACAUUUUGUAAUAGUAGCAUUGGGCACUUACCUAAUACCAACGACUUUCUUAAAGUCAACCUCCAAAGCCCUGAUCAUGUAACUAUAAAAGUUGAAUUUUGGUGUUCCCUUACAGUGUUUCUGUGAAAAGGAAUGAAGCACAUGUAUAUAAGUUUCUUCCACUAAUAGUGUAUAACGGAAAACAUACAUGUGACAUCUAUAUACCGAUUAAAGUGUAGGUUUAUUACCAUGAUGAAACCAAGUCUCAUUGUUGUGUAGUCCUCCUCGGUGACCGAUCCAUACAAUUGUUUGAAGAAGGAACGCUAAAAAUACGACGACUUAUCUUAUAGCCCAAUUGCAAAAUAAAGAAAUAAGGCAAUAUAUAUGUUUUGAUCCUUAUAGAACACAAGAAAAAAGAAAGUAUACCAUCCAACCAAAUAUCCUCGACCGUUUUCUAUGACCUUUGAAGUGGUCUUGAAUAAAUUUGAAUUCUUGAACAUGCUUGAUCAUUUGAGGUGCUGCAAGUUAAUUAGGACCCAACACCCGUAAGCAAAACACAUAACACAACUUCAUACAAUUGAAGAAAACUUGUGAAGUCAUCGUUAGCCGAACUAGGAAAUGAUUUGCAUCAUAGUACAUACCACUGCCAUUAUUUUCUUGGAUCUUGGUCUCCCAAUGUCGCCAAUUUCUCGUCUACACAACAAUUAACAUAGUAAUUAGAAAAAUCAUGAUAGACUAAUUACUCGUUACUAACAAACAUCUUGUCAGAGUUUUAGUUAGUACCUGUGCCAUUCCUAGAAGAACUGUAAUAGCACUGAGAAGGAAAUGGGUGACCGCCAACACAAAGAUAAAUAUGUGCAAUUGAUGAAUAGCGUCAGAUGAAAGUAAUGGAACUUUGUCCUGCAUGCCAAAUGCCAACAAGGUUGAACGGGUCAAAGACGGAAAACACUAGUAGAUCGACGAAGACGAAAGAAGAAGGAAAAGUAGAGCAUCACAGACAAAAUCAUGCACGUCCCAUGCCAGUUGAGCUGUAGUAUGUAGUACCUUCUUGAGGCAGUAUUCGUCGGAGGAGGAGGCUCCUCCAGCCAGGAGGCGCCUCGCCCCACCCAGCACGCCGGUGAACACGGCGUCGCCGAGGUGGUCCGUCUCGUGCGGCGGCGGCUUGCAGGGCUGCAGGUGGAGCAUGGCGCUCGGGCUGACGCACACCUUCCCCAUGGGACCCUGGAACACGGUGAGCAGCAGCGAGAUGAACCCCAGCAGCAUCAGCUCCUCCUUCACCUUCAGGAGGGCCUCGUACAGCGGCUUCUUACGGCUCCUUAUCAGCCUCUGCAAACGUGCGUCAGCUGAUGGUCAAUUGCCUGGACAGAUACGGCAUGCAGCUUCCUGGUCUCGCUCGCUGUGUGUGUCUCAUGAUGGACGCACGCAAGCACGUACCUUGCCUAGGCGGUGGAGCAAGCGCUCGAAGAGCAGGGAGAUGAUGAUCAUGACGGAGCAGACCAACGCCACGAUCCAUGUCGGCGUGUACUCGAGCGGCUUGGCCUUCCCUCCACCGCCGGCCAUGGCGCCCCAAACGUACUCGUCAAGAAUCAAGCCCACACCGACGCCCCUUGUCGUAAGAAUGAAGUGGCAAGCAAGACUGUUCUUGAUCAAUUUAUAGAUAGGGACGAAACUACUCGGUUACAUGGUGGUCAUCAGUCAUCACGCAUGACAAUAUUGACUUGGCACGAUCAGAGCCAUGAAUUACUAUUCCAAGCUACAUGUACACACAGGAAAAUAGUACUAAGAAACAACGUGCUACCUUCCUAAAUACUACUAGCAGUAUUCAUUUCUCGAAAAAUACCAGUACUACUAGUAUUCCGGUGGCAUAUGUCCCAUGCGGUCAAUUUUUCAUUUUUGUGCUGCAGUCUACGGUCCACCACACCACUCCACUAUUAACCAACGGCAAACUGGAAACUCGAAACUCGAAUAUUAAGGCCCUGUUCGAAGACCCGCCACUCCACUACCCCGCUCCCGGAGCUGGAGUCGAAAGGCACGGAGCUGGGAAAGAGAUGCUCAAGCUUCUAGUAUUUUUAGGAGCUGACUCGGAACAGGGCCUAAAACGUCUUAUAUCAAGUUAUGGAGGAAGUAUUUUUUAUUUUCUGAGAAAACACUAUUGGAAUAUCAUUCUCGGUUAAAAUAUACUACCAGUAUAUUUGCAUUCCCAAACAAACAAAGCAGAAAAUCAUCGUUCCAGAUUGGAUCUGCCGUCUGCGACGCGGCGUCUGCGAAAUCAAAGUCACGGCCCUCAACGUCGGACAGUGGAAGUCCGAAGCGUUUGGUUUGCAUCCACAUGCGUCCAGUUCAACUGGCCAGGUGCAGGUCCUGGCCUAGCUAGUGCGGUGACUCGGCUCCACCAAGUGGGCUUCGUGACGACCAGCAUGCGUUUGAAAAUGCACAUAUUCUAGACGUAAACACAUUCCUAAGCGUAUACCUUUCUGGUUAUUAUUUACACGAAUAUGCUAGUAAGUUGUUGAAGAUUACACAAGUUCAAAAUAUUUUUGAUUAUAUAUCUCUAUCUGCUUCAGAGGAAGUGUUUAUUAGGCGUAUUCGCAAAAAAAAGUGUUUAUUAGGCCGAGAAAACUGGAUUAAUCCCGCGGCAUCCCAUGGUGACGCUGGCACGUAUUUAUGCUAGACACUUGCCGGGCAUGGGAGGGGCAAGUGUCUAGCGUAAGUAAUGAUAUAUGACUGAUUGCAUCAAUCUAUGCAGAGAUGCGGGUUUAUCGCCAUUUCAAAAAUAGAAAAUAUCUCUAUUUGUAUGCCUAAUGAUCAGUUUACACUGAUAGUCGUCAAAGCUAGUUUGAAUAAUGUGAGCAUUCUACAUGGUCGUCUAUUAUGGAACGGAUAUACAAUUACCAACAAAAUGAGUUAUGAGGUGUGGAUGUGGCCCAUUAAAACAACUUCAAAAUUCCAAAGCAAGAUCUAGUCCCAUGUUGCUGAGGGAAGAAGGCGGACAUCAAUAUACAAGAUGAACCUCUAGCCAUGCACUAUAUUUUUGUAGACACAUGACAUGAAAGAAGCUUCGGGCAAGGAGAUACUUUAUUUUAUUUUCUGACGAGANNNNNNNNNNNNNNNNNNNNNNNNNNNNNNNNNNNNNNNNNNNNNNNNNNNNNNNNNNNNNNNNNNNNNNNNNNNNNNNNNNNNNNNNNNNNNNNNNNNNNNNNNNNNNNNNNNNNNNNNNNNNNNNNNNNNNNNNNNNNNNNNNNNNNNNNNNNNNNNNNNNNNNNNNNNNNNNNNNNNNNNNNNNNNNNNNNNNNNNNNNNNNNNNNNNNNNNNNNNNNNNNNNNNNNNNNNNCUGGUUUCAAACGCGCGUAAAGUUAACCUCUACACGGGAGGCAAUAAGGACAUCCUGGUUUCAAACGCGCGUCAAGCUAACCUCUACACGGGAGGCAAUAAGGUUUCUGUGAAGCGCAAUUGUAUGACUGCUUGCUGUACAUCCACUAUUGUUCACUGCGAUAAGCAUGGGUGGAGCUUGCACCAAAACGGCACUGUGGCUUUUCAAGACACCAAUAAACCCUUGGCGGUUUGGCGAUCGGGUUCUAAGAGGGAACUACUGGUGCAAUGUCCGUAAUGUUUCAUACCAUAAUUUGCCUGCUCUUAGAGCUAAUAAUUUGCUAUAGAUGAUACUAUUAGGUUGAUCUCUCUCCCGUUCGAACCCAACGGGUCGAACGGGCCCCUGACUCGCGCUCUGAUCGGGGGCGCCCAACCAAACCAUGGUUGGUGGGCCCCUGUGACCCGCGCUAUAUAAACAGAGGUGGGGGCCGGGGCACGGUUCACGAGGUUGAACGCGGCCACAAACCCCACCGACACUCCCUUCUGAUCUAGGGUUAGCGCGACGCUCACGGGAAGCUCCACCACCGCCGCCAUCUCUCUGCCAUCACCGGCCCCUACUUCACCAUGGCCGGCGCUGGAUCGAGUUCGUCUGCACCAGCAGAAGGUAGGUGUACCGGAAAGAUCUAGCCUACACGAUUCAAGUGGGUCUAUCAAUGGUAUCGGGCGAGAUCGGCGUUGGACCGUCGGAUCGCGACGGACGGUCCCGAUCGAAAACCUAAAGCGGCUGCGGGCCAUUGGGCCGAAAGAGCAGCUGUGAGCGCCGCCACGCGAGUUGGGCCGAGGCCGCCAGCUGCGGGCGCCGCCACACGAGCUGGGCCGAGGCCGGCUAUGCGCAGUUUUCCUUUUUCGUUUUUUUAAUAGUUCUAGUCCAGUUUCUGGGCAGAUUUUAAAUAGCUUUCCUAUGCAGUUUUUUCCAACGAAAAUUUUGUCUAGAAAAUAGAAAAGUGACCGAAAAAGUUUCUGAAAAUGCAAACAGAAAAUUUUCAGAAAAGAAAUGCUCAUGAAUUUUAUAUAGAAAAUAAUAAAGUUCAUGAAUUUUUAUUCGGUCAAAGUAAAAGUUUCUGUAGAACUAAAAAAGUUCGUGAAUUUUUAUUCACGUUUUCCGCUGCGUAAAUAAUUAAUACUCUUUUACAAAGAAAAUAAAAGUUUACAUAGUAUUAAGUUUUUAAGAGCAUGUUAAAGUGAUUAUUAAAAUGAAUAUGAUUAUGUUAUUUUUAUGACCAACGUUGUUAAUAACAUGAUCAUGUUUUAUUAUUGAAAUUUAAAGGUGCAUUUAUUUCUAAUAUUUUGCCCAACGGUAAUAUAGAUUUAAUUGCAUAGACAAUUGUAUGUUUUAAUUUGACCAACGUUAGAUUAUUACAUAUGAUUGUUUUAUUGAUGUCACUUAAAUUGUGAUUUCAGGAGGCUUUCACUUGAUGAGUUGCCUAAAAGAAGUUCCAACACUCAGAGGUGACAACCACACUGAGUGGAGGAAGAAAGUUGAACUGACAUUGUUUGUGCUGAUCUUGACUGGGUUUGUGGAGAAACCACAGCCGGUCAGACCCACAGAGCCAGUAAGAGAGGCCACUGAUGAUGAUGCUGCAUUAGCUAAAAAGAAGGGGGACUAUGCUCCUUUGGAGCAAUCCUACCUCAUAGAUAACCAAAAGUGGGUCAAUGCAAACAAAAAGUGCAUGGCUUUUAUAAAGAAUACAAUUGAGAGCGCCAUUGUGGGCUCCAUUGCAGAGUGCACUUCCGGAGGGGAGUUGCUUACAAAGAUAAAGAGUCAGUUCACUGGCUCUUCAAAGAUAUAUGCCACCCAGGUGUUAGAGCAACUGGUGACAGAACGCUACACAGGUGGUAGUCAUGGAAUAAGAGAGCACAUCCUCAGGAUGAGCAAUAUGGCAGCAAAACUCAAGCCCAUGGAUGCGGAUCUGGAGAUCAAACAAGCGCUCCUGGUCCACCUGGUCAUGGCUUCACUGCCAAAGGAGUUUGCAACUUUUGUUGUAAACUAUAAUAUGUCACCUGGAACAUGGGACAUUGAAAAGACAAUAGCAAUGUGUGUCCAAGAAGAGAACAGACUCAAAGCCGCACAUGGUGGUUCACUCAACUAUAUGAAGGAUUACAAGAAAAAGAACUACAGUCAAAACAACAAAAGUUCUCCUUCAAAGAAUGGAAAAGCCCCCUAUCAGUAUCAGCAUCAGCAACAGCCUUUCUCAGUGGACAAAGACACCUGUCUCCACUGCAAGCAGAAAGGGCAUUACAAGAAAGACUGCGUUGCUUGGCUGAAGUCAGUCAUGGCAAAAAGAGGUAACAAUAUAGUUUCAUUUGUAAAUGAAUCCUUGUAUAUAAAGUUUUCAAAUCCACUUGGUGGAUUGAUUCAGGAGCAACUGUUCAUGUUGCAAAUUCUUUACAGGGAUUCCAUUCGACGCGAACUACGCUAAGAAGCGAAAGACGCAUUGAACUGGCAAACGGAGUUGAAGCAGAAGUUGAAGCUGUCGGUGACAUCUCCUUGGAGUUAGUUGGCGGAUUCAAUCUUCUACUUAGAGAUGUUUUAUUUGUUCCAUCAUGUCAUAGAAACUUAAUUAGUGUUUCUUGUUUGGACAAAGAUAAUUAUGAAUGUUAUUUUGGACAUGGCAAGUGUGCCAUUUGGUAUAAUAAUGCUUAUGUGGGUGAUGCUUUACUACAUGAUGAGCUUUAUUUGUUAUCACUUCGUGAAAAAGUUCAUUCUGUUUGCAAUGUGAAAGAAAAUGUUUCCGCGUCGAAUAAAGAGCACAAGAAAAGAAAAAGAACAUUCGACUCAUCGAAACUAUGGCACUGUCGCUUGGGCCAUAUUUCGAAGGGGAGAAUAGAAAGAUUAGUCAAAAGUGAAAUUCUUCCUCCGUUAGAAUUUUCAGACUUAGAACAAUGCAUAGAUUGCGUUAAAGGAAAGUACGUAAAACAAAUCAAAAAAGGUGCAAUUCAUAGCACAGGCACACUAGAAAUCAUCCACAUUGAUAUUUGUGGACCAUUCGGUGAAAAGUGUGGAUGGAUAUGACUCGUUCAUAACAUUCACAGAUGAUUACUCUCGCUAUGGAUAUAUUUAUCCAAUCAAAGAAAGAUCUAAAGCGUUGGAUAAAUUUAAAAUAUUCAAAGCUGAAGUUGAAAAUCAGCAUGAUAAAAGAAUAAAGAUAGUUAGGUCCGACCGUGUGGGAGAGUACUACGGUCGGCACACUCCAUAUGGCCAAGUCCCUGGACCUUUUGCAAAGUUCUUGCAGGAGACUGGCAUAGUUGCCCAGUAUUCAAUGCCGGGCGAACCUCAGCAAAAUGGAGUAGCUGAAAGGCACAACCGUACACUUAUGGAUAUGGUGCGCAACAUGAUGAGUUAUUCCAACUUGCCAUUGAGAUUAUGGAUGGAGGCGCUUAAAACCGCCAUUCACAUUCUCAAUAGAGUACCAAGCAAGUCGGUGCCCAAAACACCGUACGAGCUAUGGACAGGAAGGGUGCCAUCCCUACAACACUUCAGGGUGUGGGGGUGCCCUGAUGAGGCCAAAAUGUUUAAUCCAAACAUUGGAAAGUUAGAUCCCAAAACAGCGAGCUGCCACUUCAUUGGCUAUCCAGACAGAUCAAAGGGUUUUCGUUUCUACUGCCCAGACAGAUAUACAAAGUUUGUAGAAACGAGACAUGCAGUCUUCUUAGAGGACGAAAUGAUGAGGGGGAGCUUGGUAGCUCGGAAAAUUGAUCUUAAGGAGAAGAGGGUGCAUGCACCUAAUCCGAUGAUCCAGGAGCCAUUUUCUCACUACCAGUUGCAACUCCACCCAUGACAACUAUGGGGGCAGACCCGGAACCUGUCCAACAGAGAUUUAAAGGAAAAUGUCUACAUGAAACAGCCCAAGGGUUUUAUCAUGGAAUGCAAGGAAAAUAUGGGAUGCCGCCUCAAGAAAUCCAUUUAUGGAUUAAAGCAAGCCUCUAGAAAGUGGUAUUUAAAGUUUAAUCAAACAAUUAAAAGUUUUGGAUUUAAAGAAAAUAUUGAGGAUAACUGCAUUUAUGCAAAGUUUAAAAAUGGGAAAUAUAUUUUCCUAAUCUUGUAUGUGGAUGACAUUCUGCUUGCUAGCAGUGAUGUUAGUCUACUACAAGAAACAAAGAAGUUCUUAUCCUCGAAUUUUGACAUAACAGAUCUUGGUGAAGCAUCAUAUGUUUUGGGCAUAGAAAUUCACCGAGAUAGAAACAAUGGAGUCCUAGGACUAUCGCAGAAAGCAUAUUUAGAAAAGGUUCUUAAAAGGUAUAAUAUGCAUGUGAGUAAAGCCAAACCUGCUCCUAUAGUUAAGGGCGAUAGUUUUGGGAAAUUCCAAUGUCCCAAAAACCAGUACGAGAUCGAUCAAAUGAAAGGAGUACCAUAUGCUUCGGCAGUAGGCAGCUUGCAGUAUGCACAAGUGUGCACUCGCCCUGACUUAGCCUUUAUCACCGGGGUACUCGGUAGAUAUCAAGAGAAUCCAGGCAUAGAGCACUGGAAGAUGGUAAAGAAAGCAUUGCGUUAUGCGCAAGGCACGAAGGACUACAUGCUAUCAUACAGGAGAUCUGAUUCCCUAGAAACAAAAGGGUAUUCAGACGCAGAUUUUGCGGGGGACAUAGAUGAUAGAAAAUCCACGUCAGGAUACUUAUUCAUCCUUGCUGGGGGAGCUAUUUCGUGGAAAAGCUCCAAACAGUCGACAGUUGCAUCAUCCAUGAUGUAUGCAGAAUUCAUAGCAUGCUUCGAAGCCACGGGGCAGACGAUAUGGCUAAAUAAAUUUGUACUCGACUUGAAAGUGGUAGAUUGUAUUCACAAACCACUAAAGAUGUACUGCGACAAUCAGCCCGCGGUAUUUUACGCUCACAACAACAAGUCGAGUAAUGCUGCCAAAACAAUAGAGAUAAAGUAUUAUGUUGUGAAAGAUAAAAUCCAGGAUCAAACUAUAAGUCUCGAGCAUAUAAAGACAAAAGAUAUGCUUACGGAUCCGCUAACGAAAGGCUUAUCACCCAAUGUGUUCAAGGAACACUUAGCCGGCAUGGGUUUAAGGGAAAGCCUUAUGAUUCCUGGAUAGGCCCAAAAGGAACAUAAUUUGUUUCUGAACAAAACGUAUGUUGUAGCUGAAUGAUUCUAUCGGCAAUUGAGCUGUGACGAUGAAACAUGCUCUAUGUACCAAUAUGUGAUGAAACAAAUAAACUAGAAAGUAUAAGGUUAAAAGUAAAGUUGAGAUCAAGGGGGAGAAUGUUAGGUUGAUCUCUCUCCCGUUCGAACCCAACGGGUCGAACGGGCCCCUGACUCGCGCCCUGAUCGGGGGCGCCCAACCGAACCAUGGUUGGUGGGCCCCUGUGACCUGCGCUAUAUAAACAGAGGUGGGGGCCGGGUCACGAUUCACGAGGUUGAACGCGGCCACAAACCCCACCGACACUCCCUUCCGAUCUAGGGUUAGCGCGGCGCUCACGGGAAGCUCCACCACCGCCGCCAUCUCUCUGCCAUCACCGGCCCCUACUUCACCAUGGCCGGCGCUGGAUCGAGUUCGUCUGCAUCAGCAGAAGGUAGGUGUACCGGAAAGAUCUAGCCUACACGAUCCAAGUGGGUCUAUCAGAUACUCCGUAAUCAGAUAAUCUUGGAUGAGUUAAAUAUCGCCUACAUUUUCAGAUGCAAAAUACAUAUGCUGGCUAGACUAACUUGGUCUUGAAUUUUCGUGUAGCUAAGGCCAGUCUUUACCUACAAAGCGUGUGGUUUGAAAAUUGAGAUGGAUUGGUCAUCGUCAACUACCAUGCAUGCACCUAGCUAGAUUUGGAUAUGGGUGAGGGUGCGUGGUGCGGGUUCGCCUGUAAUGAGAUAGCUGGUGAAGGUGCAUCUGGUGCGGUAGGUAGCAUGUGCAUGCAGCCACAAAAGAUUGUUAAAAUUGCCCAUUUGCAUGCCCUAGUUGCACACGACGACGACGUCCAUGGUUGUUGACUGAUAGCUAGCUACAUAUAAGACCAUUUCGAAAGGCAGCUACACAAAUGAUUGUAAGUGCCUUGAGUGCACAUUUCGUGGAUGGCUAACUGAUGACCAUAUAUUAGUGUGCGCGUGCAUAUACAUUAGCCGUCGAAACACGACUGGAAGGCGGCGAGUCUAGUCAACCGAGCUCUCUACCCGCUUCUUUGGACACGAGGCUAUGGCUUCGUGGAAGGUGCAUGCAUGCAUGCCAACCAGCCAACCAACCGAAGGCACACGGCAAAUCUGAGGCAGGAUGGUGAUUACUCCCUCCAUACAUCCCCUUUUAUCUAUUUUGAUGACAAGUAUUUUCGGAUGGAGGGAGUACGACGUUAAUUGAGUUUUACGUACUGAUAUGCCAACGUACGUACCCGUGGACCAUUCCAUCGGACAUGCACAUAGAUCAGGCACUCACCAUAUCACACAUGCCUUGCCUGUCCCACAAACGUGACGCUUGGGGCAUGUAUAGUGACUAAUAAGGCAUGUUAGCAAAAGUUCCAACAUACUUUGCCUAGUUCCAUCGAAAAACGACUCGGCGAAGAUAUUUAGAUGUAACGUGUUUGUCUAUUUAUACUUUGCCUAGUUCCAACGGAAAAUGACUCGGCAAAAAAAAUAAACCCGGCAGAAUCUCAAGUUCGCCGAGUUCCAGACCAAAAAAAGUCGGUAAAGUCUGAGAGGUGGGCCCUGCUAUAGAGCAGGCGACGGAGCCGUGACGACGUAUUUCUUUGCCGAGUUUCGGCUGACGGAGACUCGGUAAACAUUUUAUCCUUUUCUUAAAAAAAAUUGAAUUCCAGGGGUCACAACGUUGCCUGAGUCCUGGCUAACAGAGACUUGGUAAGCAUUUUAUCUUUUUCGUUUUUAUAAAUCAGAAUGCCAGGGGUCACGGCUUUGCCGAGUCCCCAAUAAAAUGAACUCGACAAGAUAUGACCCUUUGUCUACCCGGUGACAACAAUGGUUAGUCCCACCUCGCCGCGCCAGGAGCAACGUGACCAGCUUAAAUAGCUUGGUCGUCCAAAAACGAUUGUCUUCGGUUAUCAUUGUGCAGGAUAUGGACUGUCACUAUGAAUCUUCUCUUCUUAUACACAGAGAAGAUUCGUCUUAUGGGAAGAUCAAUAGUCACACUCCGUAUCCCUUUGAUGGCUGCUCCUUUUUGAAUCAUUUAAUCAAGUUCCAUUGGUCCAUACCGUCUCGUUUGGGUCGCUUUUUUUUACCGGUCACUGAUUGUGCCGUUCGCCUGGUCGUUUGAGGCGUCUGGUUGUAGAUGCUCUAAGAGGAUGUGUGAAAACAAAUGAUAAUUGUGAGUGUGAGAGAAGAAAGAGAAGGAAGGAUGAGACAAUCUAGAAGAUAACAUUCUAAUUUUGUAUAGAUAUAGUAUAUGCGUGUAAAGUUUAUAUAAAAAAGAUAAAUAUAAAGAAAAUGAAAGAAAUUUUAAAAUAAAAACAAAUUAUUAGUUGAAAAUUACACCUCGAAAUCUGAACAUAUGAUGGGGAGCAUUAAAAAUGAGACUCAUAAAACAGAAAAACGAUUUGAUAGCUUCAUUAGUGUAAAAAAACUUAGACUUCAUAAACUUUGUCUUGGGCAAACACAGAUGCAUAUGCUUGUCAUUAUUAUAACCUAACUAAUGAAGAUAUAGUUACAUGCAUAAGCAACCAUGAUGUGGCGUGUUAGAAACACAGAGAUUCAAUGGGGUGGCCGGCUUGGAGUAUGAAGCUAAUUAAGAGGUAGGGUGUAGAGUUCGAGCAUCUGAGAAUGGGGAGGACCAAUUGGUAAAGGAAAUAUGCCCUAGAGGCAAUAAUAAAGUUAUUAUUUUAUAUUUCCUUAUAUCAUGAUAAAAUGUUAUUAUUCAUGCUAGAAUUGUAUUAUCCGGAAACUUGACACAUGUGUGAAUACAUAGACAAAACACAGUGUCCCUAGUAUGCCUCUAUUAGACUAGCUCGUUGACCAAAGAUGAUUAAGUUUCCUAGCCAUGGAUAUGAGUUGUCACUUGUUGAACGAGAUCACAUCAUUAGUGGAAUGAUGUGAUGGACAAGACCCAUCCAUUAGCUUAGCAUAAUGAUUGAUAACCUAUAAAUAUAGGGGAUCGCAACAGUUUUCGAGGGUAGAGUAUUCAACCCAAAUUUAUAGAUUCGACACAAGGGGAGCCAAAGAAUAUUUUAAGGUAUUAGCAGCUGAGUUGUCAAUUCAACUACACCUGGAGAUUAAUUAUCUACAGCGAAGUGAUUAGUAGCAUAGUAAUAUGAUAGUUUUGAUAAUAGCAGCAGUAGCAAUGGUAACGGUAACAGUGAUAGGCGUGAUUUUGUAGCAGUAACGAUAGCAGUAGCAAUAGUAACUUAGCAGAAACUAUAUAAGAUAAAUUCGUAGGCAUUGGAUCAGUGACUCGUUGGAUGAUAUUCAUCAUGAGACAGUCAUAACUGUUGGGGAACGUUGCAGAAAAUAAAAAAUUUCUACGCUUUCACCAAGAUCAAUCUAUGAGUUCAUCUAGCAAUGAGAGAGAGGAGUGCAUCUAUAUACCGUUGUAUAUCGCGAGCGGAAGCGUUCAAGAGAACGGGGUUGAGGGAGUCGUACUCGUCGUGAUCCAAAUCACCGGAGAUCCUAGCGCCGAACGGGCGGCACCUCCGCGUUCAACACACGUACGGUCAGGGAGAAGUCUCCUCCUUCUUGAUCCAGCAAGGGGGAAGGAGAGGUUGAUGAAGAUCCAGAAGCACGACAGCGUGGUGGUGGAUGCAGCAGCGAUCUCGGCAGGGCUUCGCCAAGCGUCUGCGAGAGGGACAGGUGUAGCAGAGGGAGAGGGAGGCGCCAAGAGAAAGGGUGCGGCUGCCCUCCCUCCCCCCUCUUUAUAUAGGCCCCCUAGGGGGGGGCCGGCCCUAGGAGAUGGGAUCUCCAAGAGGGGGCGGCGGCCAGGGGGGGGUGGCUUGCCCCCCAAGGCAAGUGGAGGCGCCCCGACCCCUAGGGUUUCCCAACCCUAGGUGCAGGGGGGCCCAAGGGGGGGGGGCGCACCAGCCCACCAGGGGCUGGUUCCCCUCCCACUUCAGCCCAUGAGGCCCUCCGGGAUAGGUGGUCCCACCCGGUGGACCCCCGCGACCCUUCCGGUGGUCCCGGUACAACACCGGUAACCCCUGAAACUUUCUCGAUGGUCGAAACUUCACUUCCUAUAUAUAAUUCUUUACCUCCGGACCAUUUCGGAACUCCUCGUGAUGUCCGGGAUCUCAUCCGGGACUCCGAACAACUUUCGGUUUACUGCAUACUCAUAUCUCUACAAUCCUAGCGUCACCGAACCUUAAGUGUGUAGACCCUACGGGUUCGGGAGACAUGCAAACAUGACCGAGACACCUCUCCGGUCAAUAACCAACAGCAGGAUCUGGAUACCCAUGUUGGCUCCCACAUGCUCCUCAAUGAUCUCAUCGGAUGAACCACGAUGUCGAGGACUCAAGCAAUCCCGUAUACAAUUCCCUUUGUCAAUCGGUAUGUUACAUGCCCGAGAUUCGAUCGUCGGUAUCCCAAUACCUAGUUUAAUCUCGUUACCGGCAAGUCACUUUACUCGUACCGUAAUGCAUGAUCCCGUGACCAGACACUUGGUCACGUUGAGUUCAUUAUGAUGAUGCAUUACCGAGUGGGCCCAGAGAUACCUCUCCGUCAUACGUAGCGACAAAUCCCAGUCUCGAUUCGUGCCAACCCAACAGACACUUUCGGAGAUACUCGUUUAAGUGCACCUUUAUAGUCACCCAGUUACGUCGUGAAGUUUGGCACACCCAAAGAACUCCUAUGGUAUCCGGGAGUUGCACAAUAUCAUGGUCUAAGGAAAUGAUACUUGACAUUUGGAAAAGCUCUAGCUAAACGAACUACACGAUCUUUGAGCUAUGCUUAGGAUUGGGUCUUGUCCAUCACAUCAUUCUCCUAAUGAUGUGAUCCCGUUAUCAAUGACAUCCAAUGCCAAUAGUCAGGAAACCAUGACUAUAUGUUGAUCAACGAGCUAGUCAACUAGAGGCUCACUAGGGACACGUUGUGGUCUAUGUAUUCACACGUGUAUUACGAUUUCCGGAUAACACAAUUAUAGCAUGAAUAAUAGACUAUUACCAUGAACAAAGAAAUAUAAUAAUAACCAUUUUAUUAUUGCCUCUAGGGCAUAUUUCCAACAGUCUCCCACUUGCACUAGAGUCAGUCAUAUAGUUAAAUUGUGAUGAAUCGAACACCCAUGGAAUUCUGGUGUUGAUCAUGUUUUGCCCUAGGGAGAGGUUUAGUCAACGGAUCUGCUACAUUCAGGUCCGUAUGUACUUUACAAAUAUCUAUGUCUCCAUCUUGAACAUUUUCACGGAUGGAGUUGAAGCGACGCUUGAUGUGCCUGGUCUUCUUGUGAAACCUGGGCUCCUUGGCAAGUGCAAUAGCUCCAGUGUUAUCACAGAAGAGUUUGAUCGGCCCCGACGCAUUGGGUAUAACUCCUAGGUCGGUGUUGAACUCCUUCACCCAGAUUGCUUCAUGCGCUGCCUCCGAGGCUGCCAUGUACUCUGCUUCACAUGUAGAUCCCACCAUGACACUUUGCUUGCAACUGCACCAGCUUACUGUCCCAUCAUUCAAAAUAUACACGUAUCCGGUUUGUGACUUAGAGUCAUCCAGAUCUGUGUCGAAGCUAGCGUCGACGUAACCCUUUACGACGAGCUCUUCGUCACCUCCAUAAACGAGAAACAUAUUCUUAGUCCUUUUCAGGUACUUUAGGAUGUUCUUGACCACCGUCCAGUGUUCCUUGCCGGGAUUACUUUGGUACCUUCCUACCAAACUUACGGCAAGGUUUACAUCAGGUCUGGUACACAGCAUGGCAUACAUAAUAGACCCUAUGGCUGAGGCAUAGGGGAUGACACUCAUCUCUUCUUUAUCUUCUGCCGUGGUCGGGCAUUGAGCCGAGCUCAAUCUCACACCUUGCAAUACAGGCAAGAACCCUUUCUUGGACUGAUCCAUAUUGAACUUCUUCAAUAUCUUAUCAAGGUAUGUGCUUUGCGGAAGACCUAUGAGGCAUCUCGAUCUAUCCCUAUAGAUCUUGAUGCCUAAUAUGUAAGCAGCUUCUCCAAGGUCCUUCAUUGAAAAACACUUAUUCAAGUAGGCCUUAAUGCUGUCCAAGAGUUCUAUAUCAUUUCCCAUCAAAAGUAUGUCAUCUACAUAUAAUAUGAGCAAUGCUACAGAGCUCCCACUCACUUUCUUGUAAACGCAGGCUUCUCCAUAAGUCUGCAUAAACCCAAAUGCUUUGAUCAUCUCAUCAAAGCGAAUGUUCCAACUCCGAGAUGCUUGCACCAGCCCAUAAAUGGAUCGCUGGAGCUUGCAUACCUUGUUAGCAUUCUCAGGGUCGACAAAACCUUCCGGCUGCAUCAUAUACAGUUCUUCCUUAAGAUGACCGUUAAGGAAUGCCGUUUUGACGUCCAUUUGCCAUAUCUCGUAAUCAUAGUAUGCGGCAAUUGCUAACAUGAUUCGGACGGACUUUAGCUUCGCUACGGGAGAGAAUGUCUCAUCUAGUCAACCCCUUGAACUUGCCGAUAACCCUUAGCGACAAGUCGAGCUUUAUAGAUGGUAACAUUACCAUCCGCGUCCGUCUUCUUCUUAAAGAUCCAUUUGUUUUCUAUCGCUCGCCGAUCAUCGGGCAAGUCUGUCAAAGUCCAUACUUUGUUUUCAUACAUGGAUCCUAUCUCGGAUUGCAUGGCUUCAAGCCAUUUGUUGGAAUCUGGGCCCGCCAUCGCUUCUUCAUAGUUCGAAGGUUCACCGUUGUUUAACAACAUGAUUUCCAGGACAGGGUUGCCAUACCACUCUGGUGUGUAACGUGUCCUCGUGGACCUCAGAAGUUCAGUAGUAACUUGAUUUGAAGUACCUUGAUCAUCAUCAUUAACUUCCUCUUCAGUUGGUGCUGGCACCACAUGAACAUCUUCCUGAGCUACGCUAGUCACCGGUUCAAGAGGUAGUACUUCAUCAAGUUCCACUUUCCUCCCACUUACUUCUCUCGAGAGAAACUCUUUCUCUAGAAAGGACCCGUUCUUCGCAACAAAUAUCUUGCCUUCGAUCUGAGGUAGAAGGUAUACCCAAUGGUUUCCUUAGGGUAUCCUAUGAAGACGCAUUUUUCCGACUUGGGUUCGAGCUUUUCAGGUUGAAGUUUCUUGACAUAAGCAUCGCAUCCCCAAACUUUUAGAAACGACAGCUUAGGUUUCUUCCCAAACCAUAAUUCAUACGGUGUCGUCUCAACUGAUUUAGAUGGUGCCCUAUUUAAAGUGAAUGUAGCUGUCUCUAGAGCGUAUCCCCAAAAAGAUAGAGGUAAAUCGGUAAGAGACAUCAUAGAUCGCACCAUAUCCAAUAAAAUGUGAUUACGAUGUUCGGACACACCAUUACGCUAAGGUGUUCCAGGCGGCAUGAGUUGUGAAACGAUUCCACACUUCCUUAAGUGCAUACCAAUUUCGUGACUUAAAUAUUCUCCUCCACGAUCUGAUCGUAGGAACUUUAUCUUUCGAUCACGUUGAUUCUCUACCUCAUUCUGAAAUUCCUUGAACUUUUCAAAGGUCUCAGACUUGUGUUUCAUCAAGUAGACAUACCCAUAUCUACUCAAGUCGUCACUGAGAGUGAGAACAUAACGAUAUCCUCCGCGAGCCUCAACGCUCAUUGGACCGCACACAUCAGUAUGUAUGAUUUCCAAUAAGUUUGUUGCUCGCUCCAUUGUUCCGGAGAAUGGAGUCUUGGUCAUUUUGCCCAUGAGGCAUGGUUCACGUGUGUCAAAUGAUUCAUAAUUGAGAGACUCUAAAAGUCCAUCAGCAUGGAGCUUCUUCAUGCGCUUGACAGCAAUGUGACCAAGGCGGCAGUGCCACAAGUAUGUGGGACUAUCGUUACCAACUUUACAUAUUUUGGUAUUGACACUAUGAAUGUGUGUAACAUCACGUUCGAGAUUCAUUAAGAAUAAACCAUUGACCAUCGGGGCAUGACCAUAAAACAUAUCUCUCAUAUAAAUAGAACAACCAUUAUUCUCGGAUUUAAAUGAGUAGCCAUCUCGUAUUAAACGAGAUCCAGAUACAAUGUUCAUGCUCAUACUUGGAACUAAAUAACAAUUAUUGAGGUUUAAAACUAAUCCCGUAGGUAAAUGUAGAGGUAGCGUGCCGACGGCGAUCACAUCGACCUUGGAACCAUUCCCGACGCGCAUCGUCACCUCGUCCUUCGCCAAUCUCCGUUUAUUUCGCAGUUCCUUCUUUGAGUUACAAAUAUGAGCAACCGCACCGGUAUCAAAUACCCAGGAGCUACUACGAGUACUGGUAAGGUACACGUCAAUUACAUGUAUAUCACAUAUACCUUUAGUGUUGCCGGCCUUCUUGUCCGCUAAGUACUUGGGGCAGUUCCGCUUCUAGUGACCACUUCCCUUGCAAUAAAAGCACUCAGUCUCAGGCUUGGGUCCAUUCUUUGACUUCUUCCUGGCAAUUGGCUUAUCGGGCGCGGCAACUCCCUUGCCGUCCUUCUUGAAGUUCUUCUUACCCUUGCCUUUCUUGAACUUAGUGGUUUUAUUCACCAUCAACACUUGAUGUUCUUUCUUGAUCUCUACCUCCGCUGAUUUCAGCAUUGCAUAUACCUCAGGAAUGGUCUUUUCCAUCCCCUGCAUAUUGAAGUUCAUCACAAAGCUCUUGUAGCUCGGUGGAAGCGACUGGAGGAUUCUGUCAAUAACCGCGUCAUCCGGGAGAUUAACUCCCAGCUGAGUCAAGCGGUUGUGCAACCCAGACAUCUUGAGUAUGUGCUCACUAACACAACUAUUUUACUCCAUCUUACAGCUGAAGAACUUGUCGGAGACUUCAUAUCUCUCGACCCGGGCAUGAGCUUGGAAAACCAUUUUCAGCUCUUUGAACAUCUCAUAUGCUCCGUGUUGCUCAAAACGCUUUUGGAGCCCCGGUUCUAAGCUGUAAAGCAUGCCGCACUGAAUGAGGGAGUAAUCAUCAGCACGAGACUGCCAAGCGUACAUAACGUCUUGGUUCUCUGGGAUGGGUGCUUCACCUAGCGGUGCUUCUAGGACAUAAUCUUUCUUGGCAGCUAUGAGGAUGAUCCUUAGGUUCCGGACCCAGUCCGUAUAGUUGCUGCCAUCAUCUUUCAGCUUGGUUUUCUCUAAGAACGCGUUGAAGUUGAGGGUAACGUGGGCCAUUUGAUGUACAAGACAUAUUGUAAAGAUUUUAGACUAAGUUCAUGAUAAUUAAGUUCAUCUAAUCAAAUUAUUUAAUGAUCCGAAUCGACUAGGCCGUGUCCGAUCAUCACGUGAGACGGACUAGUCAUCGUCGAUGAACAUCUCCAUGUUGAUCGUAUCUUCCAUACGACUCAUGUUCGACCUUUCGGUCUCUUGUGUUCUGAGGCCAUGUAUGUACAUGCUAGGCUCGUCAAGUUAACCUAAGUGUUUAUGCGUGUGUAAAUCUGUCUUACACCCGUUGUAUGUGAACGUUAGAAUCUAUCACACCCGAUCAUCACGUGGUGCUUCGAAACAACGAACUUUCGCAACGGCGCACAGUUAGGGGGAACACUUUGUUGAAAUUAUUAUGAGGGAUCAUCUUAUUUACUACCAUCGUUCUAAGUAAACAAGAUGCAAAAACAUGAUAAACAUAAUAUGCAAUCAAAUAGUAGUGACAUGAUAUGGCCAAUAUCAUAUAGCUCCUUUGAUCUCCAUCUUCGGGGCUCCACAUCUUCGUCACCGGCAUGACACCAUGAUCUCCAUCAUCAUGAUCUCCAUCAUUGUGUCUCCAUGGGGUUGCUCGCCAACUAUUACUUAUACUACUAUGGCUAACGGUUUAGCAAUAAAGUAAAGUAAUUACAUGGCGUUAAAUCAUUGACACGCAGGUCAUACAAUAAUUAAGACAACUCCUAUGGCUCCUGUCGGUUGUCAUACUCAUCGACAUGCAAGUCGUGAUUCCUAUUACAAGAACAUGAUCUCAUACAUCACAUAUAUAUCAUUCAUCAUUCAUCACAACUUUUGGCCAUAUCACAUCACACUCACAUGCUGCAAAAACAAGUUAGACGUCCUGUAAUUGUUGUUGCAUGUGUUACGUGGCUGGAAUAGGGUUCUAGCAAGAACGUUUUCUUACCUACGUGAAAGCCACAACGUGAUUUGUCAACUUCUAUUUACCCUUCAUAAGGACCCUUUUCAUCGAAUCCGCUCCAACUAAAGUGGGAGAGACAGACACCCGCUAGCCACCUUAUGCAACUAGUGCAUGUCAGUCCGUGGAACCUGUCUCACGUAAGCGUACGUGUAAGGUCGGUCCGGGCCGCUUCAUCCCACAAUACCGCUGAAGCAAAAUAAGACUAGUAGUGGCAAGAAAGUUGACAACAUCUACGCCCACAACACAUUUGUGUUCUACUCGUGCAAAGAGAACUACGCAUAGACCUAGCUCAUGAUGCCACUGUUGGGGAACGUUGCAGAAAAUAAACAUUUUCUAUGCUUUCACCAAGAUCAAUCUAUGAGUUCAUCGAGCAACGAGAGAGAGGAGUGCAUCUACAUACCAUUGUAGAUCGCGAGCGGAAGCGUUCAAGAGAACGGGGUUAAGAGAGUCGUACUCGUCGUGAUCCAAAUCACCGGAGAUCCUAGCGCCGAACGGACGGCACCUCCGCGUUCAACACACGUACGGUUAGGGAGACGUCUCCUCCUUCUUGAUCCAUCAAGGGGGAAGGAGAGAUUGAUGAAGAUCCAGGAGCACGAUGGCGUGGUGGUGGAUGCAGCAGCGAUCUCGGCAGGGCUUCGCCAAGCGUCUGCGAGAGGGAGAGGUGUAGCAGAGGGAGAGGGAGGCGCCAAGAGCAAGGGUGCGGCUGCCCUCGCUCCCCCCCUCUUUAUAUAGGCCCCCUAGGGGGGGCACCGGCCCUAGGAUAUGGGAUCUCCAAGGGAGGGUGGCGGCCAGGGGGGUGGCUUACCCCCCCCCCCCAAGGCAAGUGGAGGCGCCCCCACCCCUAGGGUUUCCCAACCCUAGGCGCAGGGGGGCCCAAGGGGGGGCGCACCAGCCCACCAGGGGCUGGUUCCCCUCCCACUUCAUCCCAUGGGGCCCUCCGGGAUAGGUGGCCCCACCCGGUGGACCCCCGCGACCCUUCCGGUGGUCCCGGUACAACACCGAUAACCCCCGAAACUUUCUCGAUGGCCAAAACUUCACUUCCUAUAUAUAAUUCUUUACCUCCGGACCAUUCCGGAACUCCUCGUGACGUCCGGGAUCUCAUCCGGGACUCCGAACAACUUUCGGUUUACCGCAUACUCAUAUCUCUACAACCCUAGCGUCACCGAACCUUAAGUGUGUAGACCCUACGAGUUCGGGAGACAUGCAGACAUGACCGAGACACCUCUCCGGUCAAUAACCAACAGCGGGAUCUGGAUACCCAUGUUGGCUCCCACAUGCUCCUCGAUGAUCUCAUCGGAUGAACCACGAUGUCGAGGACUCAAGCAAUCCCGUAUACAAUUCCCUUUGUCAAUCGGUACGUUACAUGCCCGAGAUUCGACCGUCGGUAUCCCAAUACCUCGUUUAAUCUCGUUACCGGUAAGUCACUUUACUCGUACCGUAAUGCAUGAUCCUGUGACCAGACACUUGGUCACAUUGAGCUCAUUAUGAUGAUGCAUUACCGAGUGGGCCCAGAGAUACCUCUCAGUCAUACGGAGCGACAAAUCCCAGUCUCGAUUCGUGCCAACCCAACAGACACUUUCGGAGAUACCCAUAGUGCACCUUUAUAGUCACCCAGUUACGUUGUGACGUUUGGCACACCCAAAGCACUCCUACGGUAUCCGGGAGUUGCACAAUCUCAUGGUCUAAGGAAAUGAUAUUUGACAUUUGGAAAAGCUCUAGCUAAACGAACUACACGAUCUUUGAGCUAUGCUUAGGAUUGGGUCUUGUCCAUCACAUCAUUCUCCUAAUGAUGUGAUCCCGCUAUCAAUGACAUCCAAUGCCCAUAGUCAGGAAACCAUGACUAUCUGUUGAUCAACGAGCUAGUCAACUAGAGGCUCACUAGGGACACGUCGUGGUCUAUGUAUUCACACGUGUAUUAUGAUUUCCGGAUAACACAAUUAUAGCAUGAAUAAUAGACUAUUACCAUGAACAAAGAAAUAUAAUAAUAACCAUUUUAUUAUUGCCUCUAGGGCAUAUUUCCAACAAUAACCUAGGGCGAUGCGGCACUAGCUCCAGUUCAUAAAUAUAAUGUAGGCACAUAUUCCAUAAAUAGUCAUACAUGCUUAUGGAAAGAACUUGCAUGACAUCUUUUGUCCUACCCUCCUGUGGCAGCGGGGUCCUAUAAGAAACUAAGGGAUAUUAAGGCCUCCUUUUAAUAGAGAACCGGAACAAAGCAUUAGCACACGAUGAAUACAUGAACUCCUCAAACUACGGUCAUCACCGGGAGUGGUCCCAACUAUUGUUACUCCGGGGUUGUCGGAUCAUAACACGUAGUAGGUGACUACAACUUGCAAGAUCGGAUCUAGAACAUGGAUAUAAUGGUGAUAACAUAAACGGUUCAGAUCUGAAAUCAUGGCACCCGGUCCCAAAGUGACAAGCAUUUAAGCAUGGCAAAGUCAUAGAAACAUUAAUCUCAGAACAUAGUGGAUACUAGGGAUCAUGCCCUAACAAAACUAACUCGAUUACAUGAUGAAUCUCAUCCAACUCCUCACCGACCAGCGAGCCUACGAAGGAAUUACUCACUCGCGGUGGGGAGCAUCAUGGAAUUGGCGAUGGAGAUGUGUUGGUGAUGACGAAGAUCGAAGAUCCCCCUCUCCGGAGCCCCAAACGGACUCCAGAUCUAGUCUCCCGAUGAAGAACAUGAGAUGGCGGCGGCUCCGUCUCGUGAAACACGAUAAUUCUUUCUCCCUGAUUUUUUUCUAGAAUAAUGUGAUUUUGUAGCGUCGGUUUCAGGUCAGCGGGGCCACCAGGUGGGCAGCACCCACCGAGGCACGCCUGGGGGGCAGGCGCACCCUGGUGGGUUGUGCCCACCCAGGUGCCCCCCCUCAGGUGGCUCUUGGCUCUAGAAAUUCUCUUUAUUGGUAUAAAAAAUCCUCCCAAAUUUUCGUUCCAUUCCGAGAACUUCUAUUUCUGCACAAAAACAAAACCAUGGUAGUUCUACUGAAAAUAGCGUUAGUCCAGGGUUAGUUUCAUUCAAAUCAUGCAAAUUAGAGUCCAAAACAAGAUGAAAAGCGUUAGGAAAAGUAGAUAUGUUGGAUACGUAUCAACUCCCCCAAGCUUAAACCUUUUCUUGUCCCCAAGCAAUUCAGUUGAUAAACUGAAAGUGAAAAAGAAAAACGUUUAUGAACCACUUUUGCUCUUGUUUCAUAAAUAGGCUUAAACAACACCCAUGUUUUCAGCAAAGAUUAUAACUAACCAUGUCGAUAAUAAAUCUUAAAAAUUAUAUUAACUCAUAUGUCAUAUCAAUGACAUAAUCAACUAGAGAGCAAUAAUAAAACAUCUCAAGCAGCAACAUGUUGUCAAAACAACCAUGAUACAAUAUGACAAUAGUGGUAUCUCGCUAGCCCUUUCUGAGACCGUAAAACAUAAAUGUAGAGCACCCUCAAAGUUCAAGUAACGACUAAACAUUUUAAUUCAUGGUAGAAAAGAUCCAGUCAUUAUGCACCCAACAUUAGCUACACACGCUGCAUCAGCAUGACAUCAGUGCUCUUAGGUUCUAGCGCUUGUUUGAGAAGGUGAUGACACAACAUAAAAUUAGUCCCUUCACACAGGGAAGCAGUGAUUUGCAGAGGUGCCAGUGAAGGAAAUAUGCCCUAGAGGCAAUAAUAAAGUUAUUACUUAUUUCCUUAUUUCAUGAUAAAUGAUUAUUAUUCAUGCGAGAAUUGUAUUAACUAGAAAUUUAGUACAUGUGUGAAUAAAUAGACAAACAGAGUGUCACUAGUAUGCCUCUACUUGACUAGCUCGUUGAAUCAAAGAUGGUUAAGUUUCCUAGCCAUAGACAUGAGUUGUCAUUUGAUUAACGGGAUCACAUCAUUAGAGAAUGAUGUGAUUGACUUGACCCAUUCCGUUAGCUUAGCACUUGAUUGUUUAGUAUAUUGCUAUUGCUUUCUUCAUGACUUAUACAUGUUCCUAUGACUAUGAGAUUAUGCAACUCCCGAAUACCGGAGGAAACUUUGUGUGCUACCGAACGUCACAAUGUAACUGGGUGAUUAUAAAGGUUCUCUACAGGUGUCUCCAAAGGUACUUGUUGAGUUGGCGUAUUUCGAGAUUAGGAUUUGUCACUCCGAUUGUCGGAGAGGUAUCUCUGGGCCCUGUCGGUAAUGCACAUCACUAUAAGCCUUGCAAGCAAUGUGACUAAUGAGUUAGUUGCGGGAUGAUCCAUUACAGAACGAGUAAAGAGACUUGCCGGUAAUGAGAUUGAACUAGGUAUUGAGAUAUCGACGACCGAAUCUUGGGCAAGUAACAUACUGAUGACAAAGGGAACAACGUAUGUUGUUAUGCGGUUAGACCGAUAAAGAUCUUCAUAGAAUAUGUAGGAGCCAAUAUGAGCAUCUAGGUUCCGCUAUUGUGUCGGUGAGAGGACGACACCUAUGGGAUCAAAAGAAUCCCUACUACGGUUGCGGGGCACAGGGUCGUGAGAAGAGCAGAUCAAACAGAUAGCACACGGGUUCUUUAUCCAGGUUCGGGCCGCGAGGAUGCGUAAAACCCUACUCCUGCUUUGGUGGUUUGUUUAUCUGUGUUCUUGGGCUAGCAAUGGGGCGUGAGGUGCUCCAAAAAGCUGAAUCCUCCUCCUGGCCGCCUUGGGCCUCCUUUUAUAGGGAAAGGGGUUGCCACAGUGGCACACAGGAGGUGGAAAGGGUACAGUGAUACGAGUUUAUCCCUCGCAUUACAUGACAAGGCGCAUUUAAUGCGUCUUGCUUAGGUGUACUUGCUUUAUCGGGGAAUGGGGAGAGCCCAGUCUUAUCCGUCGCUGCUCCCUUUCGUGUCGACACACGCCCUGGCCAGCGGUGCCCGUGGUGCCAUGUAGGCAGGCAGGCAGCUGAGGUGGUGCAACGGUGGGUCUCCACGAAGAUCCGCUUGCCGCCACGCAGGUGCCUGUCCAACUGGUUGGGUCGGCAGCUGCAUGCGAAUGGUAGUGGAGGUUUGGAUUGGUGUGGGCCCGAUGGUGGCCCUACGGGUGUCCUUGGAAAGGGCCUCGCCAUAGCCCCGGCAAGGGUCUUGCCGUGGCACCUGCUGUCAUCCCCGGCAAGGCUCUUGCCGGGGGCCUUGUGGCCCUCCUUGGCUGGGAUCCCGCCAAGGGUUGUCAUCUUCUAUAGUGUGUAUCUGAUCUUGAAUGUCUUCACAAAGAUCUGCAUGCCACCACGGGGAUGUCUCCCAAAUCCUUGCCCCAUGGGGGCAGUGGACUCAAGGGUGAUUCGCUCCGUAGGUGUGGGGCGAGAUGCCACGGCAAGGGUCUUGCCAGGUUUGCUAAAACCGUCCCCCAGCAAGGAUCUUGCCGGGGGAGUCCGCUUCGUCCCCUUUGCUCUUUGUGGUCUUGGUCUUGGCGUCGUUCUGCUCCUUUCGAGCUUUGGCCUUACCUCGGCUCACCUCCCUCGCCUUGCUUAGUGUGGUGGUGUCCGUGGCUCAGACUGCCCAUGCACAGUUAUAGGGGUAAAAAAAGUGUACCCCUCUUUUUGUACACCGACAGGAGCCCCCGGGCCUGGGCCACACGUAAGCGCAAUCGCGUCGUUAGGCUAGGCCCAAGAAUGGUGCGCGGGCAGGCGGGGUGGUUUUUACCGCGGUAAGUCUCUUCGCGCGCUGCGCUUCCCAUGCCUCCCGCGCGUGGCUCGACGUGGGGAGGCGUGCGUGACGUGGGCGGCAUGCGUGGGACUGAGCUCUACGCUCAUGCGUCACGUCGUAGUAAAAGGGGGCGGUUCGCGCCUUCCUUAUAAAUGGAGGGAGGCGUGGAGGCGCGGCCCAUUUACUAAACAGGACCGGGGUGCGGUCUUCAAGGCGUCCACUCCCCACGAUCACGGGGUGGGGAGAGGUCUCCUCACCCGUCGCCUCGGUCCCGCAUGCCUGCCACGUGGUUCUCAUGCGCUUGGGGUGGCGAAUGGUGGAGGCGAGAAACUGGGCCGUCGCGGGCCGGGGCAGCGGGUUGGUCCCAGUUCCCUGCGCCUUCCGCGUCUUGGUUGGCUGAGCGAGGCGGCCGAGCCCCCACCCCGUUCCUUUAUAAGGAGCGGGGGGGGGGGGGGGACGGCGUCCCGCACUCUUCCAUCUUCUCCUUCCUUCAUCUUGUGCUCCCCCCUCCAUCCGCCAUGGAGAGAGGGAAUCCUGGCCCUUCAACGGUGGCAGCAAGGGUCGCCGCUCGACAACGCGUCCUUCCUUCUCCUUCACCUGCGGUGGCAGAGCCAGCCGCGAGGGGAAGGGGGAGGGGGCGAGGCCGCGGGCGAGGCCGAGGCGCUCAGGGAAGAGGAGAACGGGGCGGCGCGCCGGUCUCACCUCCGUCAGUACUUCCUCCUCCCAUGGAGGGCCAUGCCGGGGAUGACCCUUGCGAGUUCUUCGUCAGGCUGCGCCGGCCGCCUCGCCGUCGCCUUCGUCUCCCGACUCCAUUCGCGAGUGAGAUGGAGCUGGAUCCGCCGGAGUCAUUGCGGUUGCACAUGAGGGGCUGUUGGAUCAGCGAUAUGCGAGUUCGUGUCAACUUUCCAGCCCCUCACGUGAUGUAUCUUGGUCGAGGGUGGAAGACGUUCGCUCAUAUCCACCGCUUGACGGCGGGGCUCACUCUCCAUUUCAAGCUUUUGGAGGGCGGCCUCCUCUCCGUCAAGGUCUUCGGGUGCUUUGGGACUUGGGCAAGGUGCUGUGUGGAGAGCUCUUCUGAUAGCGAAGACUCCUCCUCGGGCAAGAGUGGCAAGGAGGACAGCGGCAGCGACGACAAGGGUAGCAGGCGGCAGGAUGACGGGUCCAACUAGGUGUCGGGCGCCGCUCCGUGCGGCACUGGCGAUCCCAUCAUCCGUGCCGCCGGCUUCCUGAACUUCUCAGGGUCGUCCUUGGGCGGCUGGCGUUGGGAGGCUGCAGAAGAGGAAGAGGGCGGGCGGCAAGGCCGUCAAAUCGGAGUACACGGGCACCGACGCCUUCGACGCGUGUUGACGUCCUGCCGCCUCGUCUUCGAGCUCUGCUUCCGGCGCCGCCAUCACCAUCCAGCCUUCGGACGGCCACCGAGAUGUUUUUUGGUGCCUCCUGCGUCCCGUAGCUCACCUAGGCGCCCCUUUUGCCCUUUUCGCCUCCUUGACCUGCCUCCUGAGGAGAGGGACAAGAAAGGGGUUACGGGCACCUUAUCUCUUUUUAGCUUGUAAGCCUUUAGGCCUUAGCUGAAUUUAAAACAUGUAAUCCCAUCAUUCAUGUUUUUCAUUCCCCAUGGGCUGUACCUGAGUGGAAUGUUUUUAAUGAAAAAGGGAUGCUUGGCGGGUCAUUUGUUUGCGGGGAGAACCCACGACAAGGAGUAAAUCCUUGAUAUCCCCAAGAUAAACAUUUCCUUGCCCGACAACAGGCCCUGCCGUCUUCCCACUUCGCUCGACCUUUCUCAAGCUUUCGGCGGAGGCAGGGAUGAGGUGGGUUCAGGCUCCUCGUUUCAUCCUUUUGCUGCCGCGACUACGACCAAACCUGGCCCCAAGAACGAGCCCUAGGGCCUAGAGUUUUAGGGGUGCACGGUAGCUUUGGGAAAAAAACGAGGUUUCACAUCCCUCAGUCCAUAAGGGAAUGCAUGAUAAGGGAUGAAGAACUUAUCUGAAGCUAUAGCCCCCGGCAACUCUGGUUUGCCGUGGGUGAAUCUUUGUACUCGCAGCCCCCGGCAAUACUGGCUUGCUGGGGUCUAGAUGCCAGUCUGUCCCUCUUUUCUUUUCGUCCUCAAGUGAUCCGGCAAGAAUAUCUGUGAGUCCUGCGAACCAAAGAAGAAAAAAGAACGACAAAGAGACGCACACUCGACCUCCAAGCUAGGGGUUAGUCGCCGCUAAGCACUAUCAACCCUAACCGAGGACGAGACUCGACCUAGCAUGCAUGCUGUAACUUAGGGCGCCAGCGCUUCAUUUAUUUAUGCUCAGGGUCUGCGCCUGGCUUUGUACAAAGGGUUACAUGCAUCAUCGGCAAUGCUUGUACAAAAGGUGGCUUGCCGGGUGCGCCUCACGGGUAAAACUUGCAAAGAUGCUCAAUGUUCCAGGAGUUACUCACCGGAACAGCAUCUUUGGUCUCCAGGCGGACUGCGCCGGGCCUGGUGACUCGUAUUACCGGAUAAGGGCCUUCCCACUUUGGCGUCAACUUGUUGGAAUUCUUGGCCGAUUGAACGCGCCGAAGGACAAGGUCGCCUUCCUCAAGGCUUCGGGCAUGAACCUUGCGGCUAUGGUAGCGGCGCAAGGCUUGCUGGUAGCGUGCUUCUCUCACAGCCGCCCGAAGACGAUAUUCCUCAAGGAGCACUGCAUCAUCUUGCCGCAGUUGCUCUUGCUCAAGCUCGUUAGAAGCGAGCACUCGAGGUGACCCGUAUAUGAGUUCAGUGGGGAGAACUGCUUCUGCCCCGUAUACCAAGGCAAAGGGUGUCUGGCCGGUGGCUCGAUUUGGCGUCGUCCUGAUCGACCAAAAGAACCGCCGGAAAUUCAUCAAUCCAGCGCCUUCCACUCUUGUGCAGCCUGUCAAAGGUCUUAGUCCUUAAACCUCGCAGUACUUCAGCAUUUGCCCUCUCAGCUUGACCAUUGCUUCGCGGGUGAGCAACGGAAGCGAAACAGACUUUGCUGCCGAGGUCUUGGGUAUAUUGCAUGAAGGCACGGCUUGUGAACUCUGUGCCGUUGUCGGUGAUAACCUUGUUGGGUACACCAAAACGGCAAACUAGUUCCUUGAAGAACUUGACGGCUAACUGAGUUGUGACCUUCCUCACUGCCUCCACCUCUGGCCACUUUGUGAACUUGUCAAUUGCAACGUACAAGUACUCAAAGCCCCCGACAGCGCGGGGAAAGGGGCCCAAUAUGUCGAUCCCCAGACCGAGAAGGGCCAGGAGAGAGGAAUGAUUUGAAGGGCUUGAGCUGGCUGAUGAAGCUUCUUUGAAUGGAACUAACACGCUUCACACCUGGUGACUAGUGUCGUCGCAUCCUGGAGGGCGGUGGGCCAGAAGAAGCCUUGCCGGAGUGCCUUGCCGGCAAGGGCCCUUGACCCAAUGUGGGAUCCACAUAUGCCUCCGUGUAUCUCCGCCAACAGCUCCAGUCCUUCCUCUCGAGGGAUACACUUCAAUUUCACACCGUUCGGCCUCUUUCUGUACAGGACAUCAUCGACGAACUGGUACAUGGUAGAGCGACAGGCUACUUUCUCCGCUUCUUCCUGCUCCUCAGGAAGUUCCCCUGUUUGGAGGAAUCAGACGGUAUGCUAUGCCCAUGCUGGAGCCUGGGGCUCGACGGCGAGGGCUAAAGGCAUUUCCUCUGCUAUAGGAGCGGCUGUCUCGACGACAAGAGCUUGAUGCUCCGCCGGAGCCAGUCGUCCCAUGGCGGGCUCAGUAUCCUCGGCAACAUCCUUGCCGGCAGCUCCGGGGAGCUCGACGGGAAAGUACUUGCCAGGCCCUGAUUUCCUCCUCUUAUUCUGUUCUGUUGAUGGAUCAACAGAUGGCUAAUUUAGCUGAAGCACAAAGGUACCUGGUUCCACAGGUAGCUUGAGGGCAGCGCGUUUUUACAGGUAAUCGGCGAUAUCAUUCUCCGCUCGGGGAACGUGUUCAGCCUGUAUACCGUCGAAACGCUCUUCCAGCUUUCUCACUUCAUCGACGUAGGCCUUCAUCAACGGGCUCUGGUAAUCCUUGUUGACUUGCUUGAUGACAAGCUGCGAAUCCCCCCUGACGAUGAGUUUCUUGAUUCCGAGGUCCGCCGCGAUCCUAACACCGGCAAGCAGCCCUUCGUACUCUGCCGUAUUGUUGGUUGACACCUCCUUGGGGAAGUGCAUCUAGAUCACGUACUUGAGGUGCUCUCCGGUGGGUGCGACAAGCAGUACGCCAGCCCCGACGCCUUGUAGGGAGAAAGCUCCAUCAAAGUACAUGGUCCAAUCACAACUUGCCUCCUUGCCGGGAAGAGCAGUCUCUUGGGCUUCUUCGUCAGGCGUUGCGGUCCAUUCUGCAAUGAACUCUGCUAGAACUAGGCUCUGAAUCGUCGAAGUGCUUUCAAACUUGAGGCCAAAGCUGGACAGCUCCAGUGCCCAUUCCACAAUUCUUCCCGUUGCAUCCGGAUUGUGCAAUAUCCGUUGCAGAGGGAAGCGAGUGACGACAGUGAUCUCGUGUGCCUGGAAGUAGUGACGCAGCUUCCUCGAGGCCAUAAAAAGGCCGAAGAGCAGUUUCUGCACGCCGGAGUACCUUGAUCUAGCCCCCUGCAGGAGGGAACUAACAAAGUAGACUGGGUGCUGCAUCAUUUUCUUCUUCAGCGGCACUUCAACUGGCUGUGUCGUCUCUACAUUGGUGGUGUCGGGCUCUGCUGCUGCCAUCUCCUCGUCGUCAACCUCUCUCUGUGCCACCAGUGCGGCGCUGACCACCUGGUCCGUUGCCGCCAGGUAUAGCAGCAACGGCUCAUGUGGCCUAGGCGCAACUAGUACUGGCGCAGAGGAGAGGUACUCCUUCAAACCCUGCAAUGCUGCUUCGGCUUCUGGCGUCCACUCCAUUGGGCCUGCCUUUUUCAGGAUCUUGAAAAAGGGAAGGGCGCGCUCGGCGGAGUUGGAAAUGAACCUGCCCAUGGCGGCGACGCAACCAGCAAGCCGACGCACAUCCUUAAUUCGCUUGGGUGCUUCAAUCUGCUCUAUAGCUUUGAUUUUGUCCAGAUUGGCCUCUAUCCCAUGUUGUGACACCAAGAACCCGAGAAGCUUGCCGGACGGGACGCCAAAGACGCACUUCUCAGGGUUCAGCUUGAGAUUGAUCUUGCGCAGGUUUGCAAAUGUUUCUUGCAAAUCUGGUAUGAGGGUUGCCCUGUCCUUGGUUUUGACCACUAUGUCAUCCAUAUAAGCUUCCAUAUUUGUAUGGAGCUGGGGUUCAAAACCAAUCUGGACCGCCCUUGCAAAUGUCGAACCAGCACUCUUCAACCCGAAAGGCAUCCGUAUGAAACAAUACGUACCACAUGGGGUGAUGAAUGCUGUUUUCUCUUCGUCUUCUCUUGUCAUGAAGAUCUAGUGGUAGCCAGAGUAGGCAUCGAGGAAUGACAGCAGAUCACACCCAGCCGUGGAGUCAACAAUCUGGUCGAUGUGCGGCAACGGGAAGGGGUCUUUAGGGAAAGCCUUAUUGAUAUCUGUGUAAUCAAUACACAGUCUCCACUUCCCAUUUGCCUUGCGCACCACGACCGGAUUGGCCAACCACGUUGGAUGGAGCACUCCUCUUACCAAACCCGCUGCUUCCAGUUUCUGGAUCUCUUCUGUGAUGAACUCUUGUCGUUCCAAAGCUUGCUUUCUGACCUUCUGCUUGACGGGACGUGCAUGAGGGCAGACAGCAAGGUGGUGCUCAAUCACCUCCCUGGGAACACCGGGGAUGUCGGAAGCUUGCCAUGCAAACACAUCGACAUUCGCCCGCAGGAAGGUGACGAGCGUGUCUUCCUUUGUCGUCAAGGGUGGAGCUUAUGGUAAAAGCUCCUCCCGUGCCGUCCUCAUUGACAGAAACCUUGGUUCCUGGCGGUAUGGCCCUGGGCUUCUUGUUUCCGCCGGUGGAGCUCUCUGGCACGUCCUCGACGGCAGCGCUACACUCCGAAGAGGUGUGCUUGCCGGAGUGGGCGUCCGAGGUCUCACCGGUCUUCUUCUUCUUCUUCUCUCCCGGGGUCCCAGCGGCAGGAGCAAGUGCCCUAGCGGCGGCAGCUGCUGCAACUGCUUGCCGGUAUAGUUGGUCAGUGCAAAUCAGCGCAUCUUUCUUGUCGGAGGGGAUGGUGAUGAUCGUCACAGGUCCUGGCAUCUUCAGGGUGUUGUAGGCGUAGUGUGACGCUGCUAUGAACUUGGCCAGCGCUGGGCGGCCAAGGAUCCCAUUGUAGGGCAAGGGGAUCUUGGCAACAUCGAACACGAUCCUCUCCGUCCUGAAGUUCAGGUCGCUUCCAAAAGUCACGGGCAGCGUGACCUUUCCCUUGGGUUGGCUUCUUCCUGGGUUGACCCCUUGAAACGUGCCUGUCUCUUCAAGGUCUCCAUCAGGAAUCUGCAGUUUCUCGAUCACGGCAGGCGAGAUCAAGUUCAGACCGGCCCUGCCAUCGACUAGCAUCUUCGUCACCUUGAGGUUGUGUAUUGUUGGUGAAACCAACAAUGGCAAGCACCCGACUGCAGUAGUGCGAUCAGGGUGGUCCCAAGUGUCAAAAAUGAUAGGUGUGCUAGACCACUUCAGCGGCCUUUGGGCAUCAAACGAUGGCUCUGCCGCUGUAAUCUCUCGCGCCCAUUGUUUAAGCCGGCGGUGAGAAGAAUGCAGUGAGGCGCCACCGUCGAUGCACAUGGCCUCUGUAGCUUUCUGAAACUCUUAGUCACCGGAUUUGUCGUUCUCUUCGUGAUCGUCGUCUUCUGGCUUUCUGUCACGGCCCCGAGCGGGCCUCUCCUAUUGCUUAUCCUUGCCGCGACGGCCCGCCUGGCCAUCACGCUUCUUGCUGGACCCCUCAGCAUCGUCUGGGCCCUUCUCCUUGUCCCGCCUCUCAUAUUCAUCCCUCUGCUUCUCAGCGAGGAGCUCAACCUGUCGGUAGUCCUAGAGAGCAUGGCCUUUGGUGUGAUGGAUCUUGCAGUAUCGCUUGUCGGAGUUUCCUGGCUUCUCGGCAGCCGCCAAGGCCCGGCAGGCGACACAUCCGGCAACCUCCUUGCCGGGGUCAUCUGCCUUUGUUUUCUUGGUGGAGCCGGUGUCAUCAGAUUCCUCGACGGCAAGCACGGCUUUUCCCUUGCGCUUCCUGUUGCGGCGCUGGCCUUUCUUCGCCAGGGCGGCAAUAUCCUCAUCUGAGGAGUCGGUUUCCACGCCGGCAUCUUCGCCGGGGUACUUCCUUCCCUCUUCGGCUCGGGCACAUUUGUCAACAAGAACAUAGAGUUCUGCUACAUCUCUCACCUUGUUCAUUGCUAGCUCUUCGCGCAUCUGGCGGUUACGCACGUUUUGAUGGAACGUGCUGAUGAUGGCGGCAGGGUGAACAUCAGGGAUAUUGUACUGUACCCGGCUGAACCUCUGUAUAUACUUGCGGAGACUCUUGCCUCCCUUCUGGGGGAUGACGUGCAGGUCGCUUGCUUGGCCAUGGGCUUGGUGGCCUCUAGUAAAGGCGCCCACGAACUCAUGGCACAAAUCCGACCAGGAGGAAAUAGAGUCUACUGGCAAGUGCAUCAACCAUGACAUGGCGUUAGGUUUAAGAGCCAAUGGAAAGUAAUUCGCAGGCACCUUAUCGUAGCGGGCUCCGGAAGCUUGCAUCGCGAUGGUGUAGGAACUCGAACGGGUGGGUCUUGCCAUUGUACUUUUCGCCCACGUCGGGUUUGAAGGUGCGGUGAGUGGGCCACUGGAAUUGCCGCAGCUCAUGGGUAAAAGCCGGACAGCCUACCUCGUAAGGUAGGCCUCCAGGGCUCCCUGAUGCCAGGUGGCUCACAGCAGGCCCUGCUCGCCUGUCUGAUUGGUGGCGCGCUCCGCACCGACGCUCGAUAGUGGUUUGAGCGUCUUCAUGUUCUCGUUCCCGAAGAACUCGGCGCUGGUCAAAGUGGGCCCGUGGGUCGGACGAUGCUACGGAGAUCUCGUUGCCCUUAACAUCGCGACGGGCUGGCGUCCGCGGUACCAGGCGAGGAGGAGGCGAGUGCACCGUGGUCGCGGCGCCGCCAGCUCUCCUGCCACUGGUGCGUGGGAUUCCGUCAGAGCGUCGACCCGGGGGCUCCACCAGACUCGGUUCGUCUUUGUUGGCCACCGCAACAAGGCUUCGGAUAGUGGCUCUCCAUUCGUCGAGUUUCCCCGUAGUGGGAGGGAAAUCAAGGAGCAACUGCGCGCGCGCCAGGGCUUCUGCUGGCGUUGGUGGCAGCGAAACCUGCACGGAUCGUGACGCACUUCGACUUCUGACCAUGUCAGAAGGAGCUCUAUCACGACCCCGCAGUCGCAUGCCAUCUUCACCAGCCCCUCGACGAGCGGGCAGGUCUUCUAAAUCCCGGGAGUGGCACUCGGGGCUCUCUCCACGGUGACGUCCGGGGUCCUCAGCAUGAUUACGCCGUUCGUCGCGCGCCGCUUGAGAGGAGCGCGCUGUCGGCGCCGGCGUGGGAGUCUUGGAAGCCCUCGCGUUGCCUUCGGGCGGGGCGGCAACGAUCUUGGAAGGCCCCGCGCCACCCGCGGAGGGCCUGGCUCCAUCUUUGGAUUUGGCGGUGUGCGGCCCGUUACCAGGCGCACGAACAUCGCCGCCUCCCAAACUUCGGCUGCUGGGACGGUGUUGGUGUUCGCGAACGGCGCCCUGGGUCCUUUCUGCGACCGGUCCGCUGCUCGCCCGUGUUGGGACAGGAUGUACGGCUUUCGAUGGGCCAACCGCCAUCGUCAUCUUUUUCUUGGGCGCCAUGACGAUGAAGAAGCGUCGAACUAACUGCUAGAGCCGAUUCUCACAACUGCGCCCCCUACCUGGUGCGCCAAAGAUGUCGGUGAGAGGACAACACCUAUGGGAUCACAAGAAUCCCUACUACGGUUGCGGGGCGCGGGGUCGUGAGAAGUGCGGAUCAAAGAGAUAGCACACGGGUUCUUUAUCCAGGUUCGGGCCGCGAGGAUGCGUAAAACCCUACUCCUGCUUUGGUGGUUUGUUUAUCUGUGUUCUUGGGCUAGCAAUGGGGCGUGAGGAGCUCCAAAAAGCUGAAUCCUCCUCCUGGUCGCCUUGGGCCUCCUUUUAUAGGGAAAGGGGUUGCCACAGUAGCACACAGGUGGUGGAAAGGGUACAGUGAUACGAGUUUAUCCCUCGCAUUACAUGACAAGGCGCAUUUAAUGCAUCUUGCUUAGGUGUCCUUACUUUAUCGGGGACGGGGGAGAGCCCAGUCUUGUUCGUCGCCGCUCCCUUUCGUGUCCACACGUGCCCUGGCCAGCGGUGCCCGUGGUGCCAUGUAGGCAGGCAGGCAUCUGAGGUGGCGCGACGGUGGGUCUCCAUGAAGAUCCGCUUGCCGCCACACAGGUGCCUACCCAACUGGUUGGGUCGGCAGCUGCAUGCGAACGGUGGUGGAGGUUUGGAUUGGCGUGGGCCCGAUGGUGGCCCUACGGGUGUCCUUGGCAAGGGCCUCGCCGUAGGCCCGGCAAGGGCCUUGCCGGGGCCCCGGCAAGGGUCUUGCCGUGGCGCCUGCUAUCAUCCCCGGCAAGGCUCUUGCCGGGGGCCUUGUGGUCCUCCUUGGCUGGGAUCCCGCCAAGGGUCGUCAUCUUCUAUAGUGUGUAUCUAAUCUUGAAUGUCUUCACAAAGAUCUGCAUGCCACCACGGGGAUGUCUCCCGAAUCCUUGCCCCAUGGGGGCAGUGGACUCAAGGGUGAUUCGCUCCGUAGGUGUGGGGCGAGCUGCCACGGCAAGGGUCUUGCCGGGUUUGCUAAAACCGCCCCCUGGCAAGGAUCUUGCCAGGGGAGUCCGCUUCGUCCCCUUUGCUCUUUGUGGUCUUGGUCUUGGCGUCGUUCUGCUCCCUUCGAGCUUCAGCCUUACCUCGGCUCACCUCCCUCGCCUUGCUCAGUGUGGUGGUGUCCAUGGCUCAGACUGCCCGUGCACAGUUAUAGGGGUACAAAAAGUGUACCCCUCUUUUUGUACACCGACUUAUUGGUUAUUGGCCGGAGACGUGUCUCGGUCAUGUCUACAUAGUUCUCGAACCCGUAGGGUCCGCACGCUUAAUGUUCUGUGACGAUUUGUAUUAUGAGUUAUGUGAUUUGAUGACCGAAGUUUGUUCGUAGUCCCGGAUGAGAUCGGGGACAUCACGAGGAGUCUCAAAAUGGUCGAGCCGUAAAGAUCGAUAUAUUGGAAGGCUAUAAUCGGACAUCAGAAAGGUUCCGAGUGAUUCGGGUUUUUUUGGAGCACCAGAGAGUUACGGGAAUUCGCCAGAAGAAGUAUUGGGCCUUAUUGGGNNNNNNNNNNNNNNNNNNNNNNNNNNNNNNNNNNNNNNNNNNNNNNNNNNNNNNNNNNNNNNNNNNNNNNNNNNNNNNNNNNNNNNNNNNNNNNNNNNNNNNNNNNNNNNNNNNNNNNNNNNNNNNNNNNNNNNNNNNNNNNNNNNNNNNNNNNNNNNNNNNNNNNNNNNNNNNNNNNNNNNNNNNNNNNNNNNNNNNNNNNNNNNNNNNNNNNNNNNNNNNNNNNNNNNNNNNNNNNNNNNNNNNNNNNNNNNNNNNNNNNNNNNNAGGGGAAAGGGGGCAGCGCCCCCCCCCCUUGCCCUUUCCUACUCCCUCUCUCUUUCCCUCUUUCUUCUGUCCUACUCCGGAAAGGAAAAGGGGAAUCCUACUAGGACUUGGAGUCCUAGUAGGACUCCACACACUUGGCGCGCCCCCUCUAGGGUCGGCCACCUCCUCCUCCUUACUUUAUAUACAUGGGCAGGGGACACUCCAAAUGCACAGCAGAACACACAAGUUGAUCAUUGAUCUCUUAGCCGUGUGUGGUGCCCCCCUCCACCAUAAUCCACCUCGAUCACAUGGUUGCAGUGCUUAGGCGAAGCCCUGUGCCGGUAGCUUCAUCAUCACCGUCAUCAUGCCAUCGUGCUGAUGUAGCUCUCCCUUGACACUCUGCUGGAUCAUGAGUUUGUGGGACGUCAUCGGGCCGAACAUGUGCAGAUAGCGAAGGUGCCGUACUUUUGGUACUAGGAUCGGUCGGAUCGUGAAGACGUACGACUACAUCAACCGCAUUGCCAUAACCUUUCUACUUACGGUCUACGAGGGUACGUGGACAACACUCUCCCGCUCGUUGCUAUGCAUCACCAUGAUUUUGCGUGUGCGUAGGAAAAUUUUGAAAUUACCGCGUUCCCCAACAGUGGCAUCCGAGCCAGGUUUAUGUGUAGAUGUUAUAUACACGAGUAGAACACAAGUGAGUUGUGGGCGAUAAUAGUCAUACUGAUUACCAACAUGUCAUACUUUCAUUCAGAGGUAUUGUCGGAUGAAGCGGCCCGGACCGACAUUAUGCAUACGCUUACGCGAGACUGGUUCUACCGACGUGCUUCGCACACAGGUGGCUGGCGGGUGUUAGUUUCUCCAACUUUAGUUGAAUCGAGUGUGGCUACGCCCGGUCUUUGUUGAAGGUUAGAACAUGACAUACUUGACGAAAAAUCAUUGUGGUUUUGAUGCAUAGGUAAGAACGGUUCUUGCUAAGCCCGUAGCAGCCACGUAAAACUUGCAACAACAAAGUAGAGAACGUCUAACUUGUUUUUGUAGGGCAUGUUGUGAUGUGAUAUGGUCAAAACGUGAUGAUAUAUAAAUUUUUGUAUGAGACGAUCAUGUUUUGUUAAAGUUAUCAGCAACUGGCAGGAGCCUUAUGGUUGUCUCUUUAUUACAUAAGAUGCAAGCGCCAUAUAAUUGCUUUACUUUAUCGCUAUGCGAUAGCAAUAGUUGCAAAAGCUAUAGUUGGCGAGAUGACCAUGUGAUGACACGUUGAUAAAGAUCAAGAUGAUGGAGAUCAUGGUGUCAUGCCGGUGACCAUGGAGAUCAUGAUGGUACUUUGGAGAUGGAGAUCAAAGGCACAAGAUGAUGAUGGCCAUAUCAUGUCACAUAUUUUGAUUACAUGUGAUGUUU